GUGCCUUGUAACAUAAAAUGUGUUAAACCCAAUACAUAACACAGACGCUUCAGGUUACAGACUCCACUAACCCAGAAAUAGUACCUCGGGUUAAGAACUUUGCUUCAGGAUGAGAACAGAAAUCGGGCAGCAGCAGCACAGUGGCAGUGGGAGGUCCCAUUAGCCAAAGUGGUACCGCAGGUUAAGAACAAUUUCAGGUUAAGAAUGGACCUCCAGAACGAAUUAAGUUCUUAACCCGAGGUACCACUGUAUACCCUGCCGUUUUCACUGAAAGGACUCAAGGAAGCUUACAGACAAAAAUGAGAACCACUGAAAACUCAGAAACAACCAACCAUUAAAGACAUUGAUAGAAUAACAAAUGUAUACAUAUCUAAAAGGUAAAGGUGAAGGACCCAUAGAUGAUUAAAUCCAGUCGAAUUUGACUAUGGGGUAUGGCACUCAGGCUGAGGUAGCUGGUGUUUGUCCACAGACAGCUUUCCGGGUCAUGUGGCCAGCAUGACUAAACCACUUCUGGCGCAACGAGACACCACGACGAGUGCCAGAGUGCAUGGAAAUGCCGUUUGCCUUCCCGCAGUGGCGGUAUGUAUUUAUCUACUUGCACAGGUGUGCUUUUGAACUGCUAAGUUAGCAUAUAGUAUACAUAUCUAAAAUCUAUUAAAAACAUACAAAGAAUUACAAUAAGAAUAGCCACAGUACAAGAUGUUCUUCGUGGCAGUCAGCUGGUGUGUGCUUGCGGGUGUCAAGGGUACGUUUCGAAUGUGAUCAAAAUGGGCUCCAGUGGAGGGAGCCAUGAGUGCUAAUAGGCACCUGGUGUGAAGUGAGAGGAGCGCAUAAAGAGCAAGAGCUGUGCUGCCUCUGCCGCCCACAGCAACUCCUGGAUGGCCUUUUGUUUUUAUCAACUGAGCUGGAGGAAGCAAGCGGAAAGAUUGAUCAGGGGAGACCAGAAUGCUGAGAGACCAUGGAAACUGAAGUCUGGACUGGAGGAGGUAUUGAUUAUUUAUUUUCAUUUGGAGUGGAGUGGAGUGGGGAUGAGGUGAAUCAUUUAAGGGAGAAAACAGGAGAGGUGUGGGCUGCCUCUGAGGCAGAAGAAAAUAAAACUUUGGGUUGGGAAGUUCUGGCAUAAGUUUUUGUGAGGAGGGUAUAGUUAGUCAGGUCAGAAGGAAAUUAAAUGCAUAAGGUACUGACUGCCAAUUGCAUCAUUAGCACCAGCUGUUCACAAGCACCGUUCAUAGCAAGCAUAGGCUCUAUAAGUGGCUCAGAAGGAAUGAUCCCCUCACUUCAGCUGGACCUGGGUAGAUCCAUUUUUCUAUGGAUCUUAAUUUCCAGGCUGUGACAUAUUUGCUCAUUUGUAUUUGAUUUUGUGUUUCUUAUUGGAAUGACAUGCUAUCAGAGACUGUGAUUAAUACUUAAUAUAAUCAUGCUUAAUGGCAUCACUGGGGCCUGACUCUCGUUCUCAGGUUUGGGCCAUGAAAUCUCAGGGUCUGGGAUGCUCCUGACCUGGCAACCUGAAAUGCACCCAUCGUCCCAAUGUGAAUGAUAUAAUACGUUAUGCACACAGCGAACCUAUACCUCAAGCACGCUUACUAGUUAGAAAGGUUGUAGUCCUAUGUCUUCUCAGAAAUAAGUUGCAUUUAAUUCAGUGGGGCUUACUAUGUGGUAAGUGAGGUGAGGAUUGCAACCUAAGACCCGUUAAACUCAAUGAGAUUUCUCGGCAAAAAUGCUUAGAAUAUGCAAUGAAUUCAGAAGUGUUUUGAAGGGGGGGUGACUCCCAAGUAAAUGUGCACAGGAUUGCAGCCUAACACUGGAAGCCCCAUUGUACAGAAUGUAACUUACUUCUGUGUGGAUGGCUAUAUGAUUCUCCUGCAACUCUAUUAAGGUGCUCUAUUAGGCUUCAGUCCUAAACCACUUCCUCUGUAGUAAGCUCUCACUGAACUCAAUGGGGUUUACUUCUGAAUAAACAUUUUUUUAGGAUUGCAUUUAUUAUUUGUACCCUGCGCAUCUGGCUGGGUCUCCGCAGCCACUUUGGGUGGGUUCCAACAAAGAUUAAAAAUACAUUAAAAUGUCACACAUUAAAAACUUCCCUGAACAGGGCUGCCUUCAGAUGUCUUCUAAAUGUCAGGUAGUUGUUUAUCUCUUUGACAUCUGAUGGAAGGGCGUUCCACAGGGCGGACACCACUAAAUAAUUGUGUGCAUGUGUUUUAAUAGAGCAAUUAAUGUACAGGUAAGUAUAUUAGAGGAAGUAAGGAAAAUGUUAGGCAGAGAACGAGAGAGGGUGGGUUUGGAAUGUUGGUUGUGAAUGGUGUUUGGAUUGGAGUUUAAAAAGCAAGUCUGACUACUGAUGGCAAGACAGUGGAGGCUCAGUUUAGUUGAGUUUGGAGUCAGUUGAGCUGAAGUUGAGUUUGGGAGUGGGUAGUUGAUGGGGAGCAAAGUUAUUUUAUCUAAAAUAGGGUUAGUAGUGUAUUAGCCAUUUUGUAUAAACAACAAGGUAAUAAGAUAAACUGAAAACAUACGCUUUACAUCAGUGUUUCCCAAAGUGGGCCAUACUGUCCCCAGGGGCGCUGGAACAAUUCACGGGGGCGGUAGUAUCCUCAGGUGCAAUCAGGAGGCGUUGAAUAAAAAUAAGGGGACUAUGGAAGCAUAAAGAAAGAAGAGAAGAGAAAUUAGAAAAAAAACAUGUUUCAUCUGUUGUGUAAUGACACUUACUGCCAGGUCGGGCAUCUGUUGUGGAAUGGUGACAACACCUCCCAUGGAUCUAGUGGUCAUGCUGGGGUGUGUGUGUGUGUUUCCCAGCCUAGGGUGAACUCUUUUUGGCUUCAUUCAAGCCCAGGAAUUGGAUUGCAGUUUGCCUGCCUAUUUGGCCAAUGGGUGGUGGGCUGCGGUGCCAGCCCUGCCCCUGGGGCGGAUCAGACUGAACCAGCAGACUUUGCUCCUGUCCACCCCAUGGAUUCUUCUAGCUUCAGGGUGUCUUAUUUACAACAACAUCUUUCUUUACUAUGUGUAGGACAUAGGUAGAAAUAUAGUUACCUAAAGGAAGCGCAAAUUUGUUGCCGCAUCUUUUUAUUAGUUUGCUUAAAGAAGGUAGAUUUCCAAGAGGGUGCUGAAGUUUGUUUUCUAAAAAGGGGGCGGUAGGCCAAAUAAGUUUGUGAACCUCUACUUUACACCAAGUAAUUAUAAAACCCUUUCAAUUAUUGAUGUUUAACAAAUGACUGUGUUAUACCACAUGUCUCAUAUUUGGCUAUGCUGUGAGUGGAAUAUUAAGAUAAAUAGAAUCUGUGGUGGCAGCAGGAAUAAAGGGAGGCUAUAGAAAUAUCCGUUGAAACCCUGAUCAGAACUGUACAUUUUGUUAAGAGUGGGAAGACUAUACAGGGGAGCUGGGUGCAGUGCCAGAGCACCACAUACGCUGGCAGAGGCUUCCAUAGACCCUAGCAGGUUUUACAUAUGUAUAGCUGGGAGGGGGGGGUGUGUUAACAGUGAGGCCAAAAGGUCAUGAGAUGCAAGAGGUACAGACUGUGACAUUUCUCUGCAAAUGUUUGUGACAUUUUAACAGGCAUGCCUGCCAGCAGGGAUUGUCUUCUAUUUUGGUUUUGUGCUGCGUGCCAAGUGCCUUUAGAAAUAAUAAUUCAUUUGUAAUUAGGAUUAGAGUGCAAUAUUAUACAGUAAUUAUAUUUCAUAAGAAUGUGACCUUUUUGCAAAGCCCCUUGCCAGAAGACAGCAAGUAAGUGGCAUAGAUAAGUGUAUGUGUCAAGUGGGUUGCUUUGUUCCUGAAAGAAUUGCAACCAGUCCACAUGUGGUUCAAGUAGCAUUUCAUUCAACAGGGCAUGCUUGGUCUAGAUGCAUAGCAGAAUACACACACCCAUGAAGAGGCUCUUCAGGCAAAAUGGCUCUAGCCCAGGUCCCAUCUGCAUUAUGCAUUUAAAGUAGAGUUACACCACUAAACAGCCAUGACUCCCCCUGCCCCAGGAGUUUAAAGGUAUUGAGAGGAGUUAGGAGACUAGAUAGACCAAUGAUCUGACUCAGUAUAAAGCAGCAAGUGAAGCAUUUCCUGGCAUGGAGCUCAAGCAUGCCCUCCAACAUUUGGGGAAGUGCCUUAGCUCAGUGAUAGAGCAUCUGGUUUGCAGGUAUAAGGUCCCAUCAUCUCCAGACAAUGCUAGGAUGGACGGUUCAGAAAUCCCGGAGAGCUGCUGUCAGUCCAUGUGGACAGGACUGAGCUAGAUGGGCCAGUGGUCUAAUUCAGUAGUGUUAUAGAUUUGGGAGGGGGACACCCCCCCAAAGCAACCCAAGAAAUUAAUCAGUGGUGGAUUUUUGAUGAUUUGUAACGUGAAGGGAGAAAUACAAACUUCAGAGGAAUUCUUGGGCUAGUCUAUGCAAAACGACCUGGCCAGGCUGGGGCCAUUAAGAAACAAAAGAGGACCAUUGGCAAUGCAAGAGCACUGUCCUUCCCCUCCUGCCCUGAGCUGCGAACAGAAACAGGGGUUUGGAAGGUUGUGUUUGAGGUGACAAGAAAAGGGAGACUGGUAGCAAGGGGUUAUGAGAAAGAAGAAGAGACUGGGAUCCAUUUUGGCGCAGGCUGGCUGAAGGCAGGGUUCACUGCUGCAGGGACAAGUCCCUCUUGAAAUGACCAUGCUGUAAGAUCUGGACUCCCUCUAUGCAGACUUCAGGUGUUAAGAGGUGAACAAACCAUGUUUCUUAAAGCCACUACAGUCUCCUCUAUGUCUUAAUUCUCCAAAGGACCACAGACUCUGGGGGAGUGCUUGGAGCGCCAUAGGCUCUUGCCACCACUCAGCAGAGAGAGAGGGAGGGACCCAACUUUUGUAAAAGUAUAAUGUAGCUUCCUAUAUUCACAUAUAAGCUUCUAACAUGAGUUUGACAAACUGUGGGAGGCAGUGGAAGACAGGAGUGCCUGGCGUGCUCUGGUCCAUGGGGUCACUAAGAGUCGGACACGACUAAACAACAAAUAUUCACGUACUCCUAAUCUUUACAAAAGAGGAUUUCAGCUUUAGGUCGUAAUGUAGAAAUGUACAGGCAACUCGUCUUAAGACUCUGCUAGUAACUUGCUUGUGAAUGUUAUUUACAAAGCUGGUGAUGAGCAACCACUUUUCCGAGUUGCUAAGAAGCACUCUUCUUUAGUAAAAAUUGAGAGGAGGAAGUUACUUAACAUCCUUUAAAAGCAGUUCCAUCAGGGCUGAGAUUCUUCAGCCUCUUCUCUGCUUGUCUUUAGGCAUAACAAAAUGUUCUGUUGCCAAAUGAAAGAGCCAUCAGUACAAGAAAUGCUAAGACAACAAUCAAUAGUGUUCUUAUUAAUCAUACAAGUGGAUGCAGUUCAAGUUGUGGAAGUAAUCUGCAUUACCCUCUUCAUUGUGAAUGAGCCUGCUUUGAUGGAAAGCUUUUAGGUUCCCAGUCAUUUUAGAACUCUCUUAAUUCCUUUAUGCAUCCCAGCCCAUAAACCUCUCUCGAGCUGUUGCUCUUGGCAUGUUUUUUUUUUUUUAAUUAAUGUAGUGAUACCCAUUACUGUGCAGGUGAAAUUAUAACAGUUACUCUUUCAAAGCCCAGAAGCUGGAAGGCAGAUUCUACUCACUGAACAUUGUCUGAUAAUGUACUAAAUAAAACAAUUGCUUAAAUGGCCCUGCUUCUGAGUGGGGUGGAGGGUGGAAACACACCAAUGCAAUUAACAGCACGGCUCUUUCGAACCUUGGAGGCAUAUUUGGAAACCUAAGAAACUGUAGUAAAUACAUAUUUCACAUAAUAAAACCUAAGAAUGCUCAACCCCCCCCCCCCAAAAAAACCCCCAGGCAAAAUACCUACACCCCCACAAAAGACAAAAACACUGACAGAAAAACUGGCAAUAUCUUCCCCAAAACAGGCAGCUUCCCAAGCAAACAACCCCCUCCCCCCGCAAAGCCAAUAUACUCAUUUAAAAGUAAUUGGGAGCAUGGCCUUGGAGGUGUGCCUAGGUCCUAGGAGGAUGCCUGAGGGUGCUCCAUUAAGCACCCCAGCUUUAGAGGAAAGGUUAAGCAGCUAGGUGGUUGGAUGCAAAAGAGGGCAGGGCUUCGGCACCUUGAAUAGUUAUGCAAAAGAGGGAGUUUUGGCAACACUUACUGAAAUUGCAUCUUCCACCAUGACAAGAUAACAGUUAUUGACCAUAAAAUCACAAUAUUAACAACACAACACAAUUUAAGCUCACAGGAUUAUAACUAUGUGAUGUUUAUAAACAAAUAUUUACUGGGUUUUUAAAAAUAAUAAUAAUACAAGAACCAUUAAACACUUAUCCAGCAGUACAUCUUAUGGUGUUUGUUCUAUCCAUUAACUUUAGACAUAAGCUCACACAUUCAGUGUUCAAAUCUAUUAGUUAAUGUAACCUCUCUGCUGAGAAGACUGAGCGGCUGGUAUAACAAGAUCUUGGUUUUGGUCAUUAACAUAGUUAAAGAAAGGGGUCCACGUUUCUUGGAAGGUGAAAUAUACUUGGAGUUGAGUGUGAAUUUCAUGCUCUUUAUUCUACUCAUAGUAGCAAUGAAUGAAUCUUUCCCCAAAAGUCUAGCUUUACAGUAUAUACGUUAUUUACACAAUGGGCCCUGUGUGAUUGGCUAAUUCCAGGAUGCUCCUUUUGGCCAAUCAGGUUGCUGAUUCACUUCAUCCAGGAGCCUGAUUGGCUGCUCCUGCAGGCCAAUCAAGUCACUGAUUCACUUCCACCUGGAGCUGGAUUGGGUGGCUCCUGCGGACCAAUCAGACUGCUGCAUUCUGGAUUCUAUUGUUCUAGGAUUCAGCUCAGUACAUAACGGAAGAUGUUUCUCUUCAUUAUCCCUUCAGUUGCCUUCCUGUGUCUGGUGAGAUGUUCAGACACUGCUGUAUCCCAUAUAUUAUUUUCCCAUAUCUGCAGGGGUAUCAAAAAGAAGCAACAGUGCAAAAGGCACUGAGGGCUGGUGUGGUCUAGGUAUUUAGAGUGUCAGACUCAGUCCUGGGACACCAGAGUUCCAAUUCCCAUUCAGCCAUGGAAUUCACUGGGUGGAGAUGGGCCAGUCACAGUCUCUCACCUUAACCUCAUUGUUGUGAGGAGAAAAUGCAGGGAGGGAUGAACUAUGUCAUCUUGAGCUCCUUGGACGAAAGGUGGGAUAUAUAUGCCAUAUGAAAUGAAAUCAAAACACAGCUUAAGCCAAAGCCAAUAAACCAGCAACAUAAUCAGUCAAAUUAUCCCCGUUUAAAAGCCAUUACGUUUAUUUAUUGUGGCACAGUGUAUAGAAAUUACUGCGUUAUCAGGGUGAUUCUUUUACUUAGCUGAAAUACAUGGCACGAAGGUAGUAACAACCUGAUCCACGUCCCCUCCUCUGCUCUAAAGCUAUUAAUCAUUGUGGCGACAGGUCAGUUAUUUACACUUGCCAAUUUUUAAUUUUUUUAAAAAAAAAAUAUAUCUUCAGAGCGAUCUGGAAUUACAAGGAAUUAAAUAUAUGCAAGAUAGAUUAGCAGUGUACAUUUAGUUUGCUAAUUGGGCCUGGGUUUUAAUUGCACUCUUCAUAAUGAUUUGAAGACUCCAUCUGAAAUAAUUUACUUUAGCAGCAAAUGUUUUACUGCCAACAGAGUAAAUAAUAUACUGAAAAUAAGGGUUGCAUGCUUUUCAAAGAUCAAUUCUGACCAGCAAGAAAAGCAUUGGGAUGAGACAUUUCUUGUACAUCAGUCUUAACAGAGAAACAAUCUAACUGGAAAUAGGAAAAUAAUUAGCAAUUAUUUUCAUAUUUUAGUAAGAUUGCUUCUCCAUACAGACUGUUGUGUAUGCGAUGGUUAUCCAAAUAGCAUAUUGUACUGUAUAUCAGAACUGAAAACAGAAGCCUGUGAGCUGUUUUCUGAAGCUGUUAUCUUCUGUAAUGGCAGUAGAAAAAAAAUAAAAAUGCUAAGAAUUGUUUCCCUUUUCAUAAAAUUUCCUUGAUAUUACUACUGUAAUAACCCUGCCUAGAAAGUGCUUUUUCAUCAGAGACAACACAGGAAAAAAGGCAGAGAGGUAUGUUCCUUCACUUCCACACUGCCCUGCAUUUAGGGAGAACAAAUCAAAGGCAUAUGUAUAGGAUGGGAGAGAGAUGCUUUUCGCAGUGGUAUGAUUACCUUGAAUAUAACCCAGCAGUGUUAUGCAGCUGCAAAUAAAGCUAAUGCAAUCUCAGGUGCCCUCCAGAUGUCCUUGUUAUCCAUGCAUUCAUGAUUAUUUGUACUCAUGAUGGUAUUGGGACAGUUACCUGCCAUCACACUUUCAAUACUGUUUGGACCUGCAAAGGUUUUGGGAUGGACACACUACUUUCUUUCCAAUCAGCGUAACUUGUUUCAGUCCUGUAACUUCCAGUAAAAAAAGUCUAGUUUUUAUACCACAGAAGAUCUAUCUAUCUGUCUAUCUAUCUAUUUACAGUGGACCCUCUGGAUACGAAUUUAAUUUGUUCUGGGAGUCCGUGUGCACCCCAUAAAAUCCGUAUCCAGAGGCGCCGCUUCUGCGCAUGAGCGAGUGGUGAAACCCGGAAAAAUACUUCCGGGUUUGCCACUUUUGCAAGCCGAAGUUUACGUUACUCGAGAGUAACAUAACCCAAGGGUCUUCUGUAUUUAUUUUGUCCUGCUUCUGCUGUGCCGUAGUGCAAAAAUAACCCUCCCAGUGGCAAUAAUACAAUAACAAUGGGGAAGCAUCACAGACCAACUUAUAAAGAGGAAUGAUGUGUGGAUGUCCCAGUAUAAACCCACCACUAAAGUACUAUUACUGCAUCAAUGAUAUGUAGCAGAAUAUACCAGCCAAAAAACUUCCACCAGACUGCAUUAACAGAAGCAUCAUGACCACAUUAUGAGAUGUAAUAAGCCCUUUUGAGGCAUUCCCCUGCAUGUGAUUACAGUGGUACGAAGAGGACACUUACCCUGUCCCUCUCUUGCAUCUGUUGGUUUAUGGUAAAAGGAAAAGAAUAAACAUGGUAAAAUAAAACAAGAAUUCUCUGGUUUACCUAGAUCCAGGUUUGGAGCAAGCACUAUUUGGUUAGAAAGCCCCAGCAGAGAUUUAAAAUCACAAAACGUAGUAAAGUGUGGAAAUGUAGGCUGUUAGACCUUUAAAAUAUGCCCUUCUGAGUUACUUCCAAAGUUUCCCGCUUCCCUAGUACAGAAAAAUACCACACGCUUGGUGAGUUAAAAAUGGUUUACUUAGAAACUCUCCAAAGGUCAGAUUUAUGUGUAUUUCCAUACAUCAGUCAGAAAACAAAGGCAGUAAAACUUAUAACGGUUGAGUAGAGCCUUCUCUCUCUCUCUCUCUCUCUCUCUCUCUCUCUCUCUGUGUGUGUGUGUGUGUGUUUGUGUGUGCAUGAGCAUAGCCAGUAUUUCUGUUGGGGGGGGGCAGAACCAGCGUGAUUGGUCAGCUAAGUAUUUCUAUUGUUUUACUCCCUCCCUCCCUGGCUACACCCAUCUGUGCAUUGUACAUACAUGUGUAGGUGGGGCUUGGGCAUGAAUCCUUGGAAUAUGAUUGGGCGCAAUUCUCUACUCACCUGGGAAGUGGAAUUCAUUGGGGCAUAUUUCUGGAUAAACAUGGAUUGUGCUGCUUGGGUGUUGCAAGCAUUUUCCUGUUUUCAUAUAUCUGUAUUUUCUCCUAAUAGGGAAAAACACCCUAAUUUUCAUAUAUUGUACUAUUGCCCAAAUAGUCCUAGUCAAGGCGUUCCAAGACUGUGGUAAAUGGACCACCAGUAGUCUGUGAGCUUUGUUCAUGCAGUCCACCUUAAAUAUCAAUAUCAAUUUUUAAUUAUACUUGUAUUGCUUCUUUUAAUCCAUCCUAUUUUAUUGUACAGUUGUACCUUGGUUCUCAAACGGAAUCAGUUUGAAAACCAAGGCACGGCUUCCGAUUGACUGCAGGAGCUUUUUGCACUCAAGCGGAAGCCGCGUCGGGCAUUCGGCUUCCAACAAAUGUUUGCAAACCAGAACACUCACUUCCGGGUUUGUGGCGUUUGGGAGCCAAAAUGUUCGAGUCGCAAGGCAUUCGACAACCAAGGUCUGACUGUAUUACGGUUUGAAUUCUGUUGAAUGUAAAUUGUAGUACAAUGAACAAAAGAAGCAAUUUAAAUACAUUUAAAACCAUACAGAAUAUAGCACAAGACACUGCAAUUGCUGCAACAGGUAUUUUGUGCUCUGAGAAGGCCAUGAGUAGUUUUCAAGUGCCGUGGGGUGGGGUGUUUGGCAACUGCUUGUCUUAUCCUGGUUGUAGUCUUGCCUCCAAGGUCCUCUAGAUGGAGCUGCUAAGAAGGAAAUGAAGGCCAGCUUGUUUGAAACGGCAGGAAUCUCCAUUGCUCCCUCAGUAUCUCAAGAGAGGUAGCAAGCCAUGUGUUGAUGUUUGCAGAGUUUUUAAAAGGAGUGAAAAUUAGAAAAUUCUAACGAAGCCACAGACUUUCUUCCUCCUCUUGCAAUAUAUUUUGCAGGCUGCCCAAAUCAGGUUUGUUUGUUUUGCAAGAAGGUUGCUCCAAUAAAUGUCAAUCAUCCCACCUGGCAAUUCAUCCCAGUUCCUAAGAAGACAUAGUUGGAGUCAAGCAGCAGUUUCCAAAACCCUAGGGAGAAGGUGGAUCAUGACUUAUAGAGGAAUGGGCUGCACAAGCCAGUGUAUUAUAAACACCAACCAUUGGUGUCAAGUCUUGAUGUGUUUAUUGGUUUCUAAAAGGGCAAAUAUGGCAGGAGACUUUUCACACAGCCACUGGGAGCAUCGGAGCUGCAAUGCAAGGGGUGCAUUUGGCAGCUUUAUUCGGAGAAAUAGCAGGUCUUAAAAUUAAUAAAGAUAAAACCAAACUCCUGGUAAAAAAUAUGAAGGUUGAGAGUAAAAAUAAAUUACAAAGUUUAUCAUGCUUAAAGAUCAAAAACAAUAUUAAAUAUUUGGGUAUGUGGUUAACAGCAAAGAAUAUAAACUUGUAUAAAGAUAAUUACAGUGGUACCUCUGGUUGCGGAUGGGAUCUGUUCCGGAGCUCCGGUCAGAUCCCAAGGUUUCUGCAACUAGAAGUGCCUGUUCUGUGCAUAUCUGUAGCGCGAUAGAUAGUGGCUGUGCAUGCACACGAUGCGUAGAACACUUCUGUGCUGCGUGUAGAGCACUUCUGUGCAUAUGCGAGCUGUGAAACCUGGAAAAAUACUUCUGGGUUUGCCACUUUGCAACCCGAAGUUUAUGUUACCCAAGGGUAACAUAAGCUGAGGUUCUACUGUACUUGAAAACUUGGGAGGAUAUUAAAAGGAAUUUGCAAAUAGGGAGUAGAAUGAAACUUUCAUUAUUGGGUAGAGUGUUGACCAUUAAAAUGAAUGUAACAGUGGUACCUCGGGUUACAUAUGCUUCAGGUUACAGACUCCGCUAACCCAGAAAUAUUACCUCGGGUUAAGAACUUUGCUUCAGACUUCCGGGGUGGCGCCAUCGGUAAUGGCGGACUCCCUCUGAUCCGGAGGGACUGGCUCCACGGAAAACGGGUCUGUUCCGCUACGGCGAAGCGGGGACCCUUCAAAAAAUCACAGGCGGAGGAAGCCUGUGACCAUGGGAUUGGCGGGCACCUUUUGCGCCCCCCCAAUCCGUAAAGGAACCCAACUAUGUGCUCCGGAGCGAAGAGGGGUUAGUGGCGCGGUGCUGAGAGUCAACUGCUUUUUCCGUGGAGCGAAGCCGCACAGCCGUUGCCGGAGAGCGCUACCUUUUUCCUGGGACAAUUUGGUUACAAAAACAACUACCCGUGAGCAGAUCAAAUUUGGACAAUUGGACUUUAAACAACGAUCUGUGAGUAGAAGGGAAAAUUGGAUUAGAAAUUCUUCUUAAUUUGGCACUGAAGCAGGAAGGUCUAAACAGGAAGUCAGCCUUCCAUUUCUUGUAGAUAGAUUAAAGCAAAGACAUGGCAAACUAGAGUCCAGAAAAUCGUUUGUAAAGGAUCAACUUUCAUCAUCUAAAACUACUGAACCCCCUUCGGAAGCAGGAGAAGAGGGGGGAUUUUUUCCGGAUGGUUUAAACUUGCAGGAGAGAGUGUAAAGAAAAGUAAUUUUCCACCGUCUUGAACCUGGGAGCGGGAUGUCAGGACAGACGUUUUUAGGAAGUUCAUUGACUAUAGACAAAUGUUUUUGACAGAUAGUUAAAAGAAGAGAAACAUAGUGAUUCCAUUGUUCUCUUUCGCAUUUUAAAGGAACAAAUACUGACAAAAUAUCUGAAAAAGGAAACUUUGUUGUUAGAUCUUCUGUUAAAAAAGAAAAAAGAAAGAAAAGAGAUUGAUACAAAUAGAAGUUCUUCCCCUAGAGGGAGCUUGUGAAACUGUUAUUAAACUUGAACUGGGGAGCUUCGCAGCUGCAAACAGAUUAAGAUCGUGGGAACAGACUUCUGACCUUGCAUAACAACGUAUUCAGAGGCUCUGGUGCGUGCUUUCUGUAAGACAAGUGCUUUAUUGGAACAGUUACAUGAGAAGAUGGAUUUGAUGACUGUUGCGAUUAGAAAUUUUGGACAGGUAGUGGGUAUCUAUAUAGAACCCACCCAGGAAUCAACUCAGGAGUGUGCUCUGACAGAUCAGAUGAGGGAGGAGAUCAUUGUUGGACCUCGGGUAGCAGAGAUGGAGGGAGCUGUGGCCCAGCAGGAACAUGAGUUGUUGGAUUUGACAAAUGAACUUGGAAAAAGCCAGAUUUGGAGAGAUAGAGUUUUGUUGGGUUUGGAGAUGGAGGGCUGGAUAGACCCCCCUAUGCAGGGAUGUCCUGAAUUUCCAAGUCUGGCAAUGGGCCAUGAGGAGUUUGGGGUUGUGGGGGUCCUCAACCUUGGAGGGACUUUGAAACAUGCUUUUAAAUACCACAUGGAGUUCAGUGUGGAUUAUGGAAAAGGGGCUGAUCUGUCGAGAAGGGACAAAAAUACUAUCAAGUUGGAGUUUCCACGAGCGAAAGGACCAGGAGACAAAGUAAAGUACAGGUAUAAAUAUGAAGAAGAUCUGCGGAAGGGACAUGGAAGAGACUUAAGGGCCUCGGACAUAAGAUUACCAGGUUAAUGAACUAAAUGGAUGAGACAGAAAGGACUGACAAAACCCGGGACCAGGAGGAAGAGAUGUUGGAGGAAGAUUGGAAGAAAGUUUUAAAAAAAAUUUCUAUUUAGGAUUGUUUUGUAAAAUUAAUGAGUAUUAGAAAAAUGUUGGAACGAAACUAUUUGGCUUUAGCAGAAAUGCUAAAAAGAACUAUGCAAGAAUAUGUUAUGGUUAUGAGAAAUUGGUAUAAAUAAGAUUUAAGUUUUAGGGUAUUUUAUAGUAAGAUAAGGUUAAAAUAGAUUAAGGUAAUUUAAUGACAGAAUAUUAUGAAAAAUGGGAAGGAUUUGCUGUUAUAAUUAAUAACUGGAAUACAAAAAAGGGAGGUUUGAGGAGGUCGAUGAAAUAAGGCAAUGACAGUUAAGGAUUUGGGAAUAUUGGAUCUGUUUUUAAUUGUUUGUGGUUUACUUUUGUUUUUUGGAUUUUGAUGUGUUUUGUCAUUGUUUUUAUUGAUUUGUAUGGUUUGACUGCUGUUUGCUUUUCCCUUGUUUUUUUUCUUCUUUGUUUCUUUGGUUUUUUUUGAAACUCUAAAAUGCUUAAUAAACAUCAUUUAAAAAAAAAGAAGAACUUUGCUUCAGGAUGAGAACAGAAAUUGUGCAGCAGUGGCGCAGCGGCAGCAGGCGGCCCCAUUAGCUAAAGUGGUGCUUCAGGUUAAGAACAGUUUCAGGUUAAGAAAAGACCUCCAGAACAAAUUAAAUUCUUAACCCGAGGUACCACUGUAUUGCCACGGAUGUUAUUUUUGUUUCAGUCAAUACCAGAGAUGUUAGCAACAUGGUUACAACAUCAUCAUCUGAAUAAAGUAUUUAAAAAGGAUAUAAAGCAGGGGUUUGGGGAACAAACAUCACAGCUAGAGACCUGUUAAACUGAAAUGUUAAAGUGCUGUCUAAACUGUAUAAGAAGUUUUUGGAAUGAGAGACAAAGGAUGAACAAGUGAAAUCUUCAGUCAUACCCUGGGCAAUAGAUAUUGGUUAUAAUAUAGAAAUGGAUGCAUGGGAACAUUUAUUGAACAUGGAUUUAAAAUUUACAGCAUGUUGUAGUUUAAGAGAAAACUAUAUGAAAAUGUUAUAUAGAUGAUACCUAACACCUAGUAGAUUGGCAAAAAUGUAUAAAUCCAAAUUGAAUAUGUGCUGGGAAAGACAGUACCUUUUUUCAUAUGUGGUGGUCUUGUAGUAAGGUUAAAUCUUUCUGAGAAAUUAUAUAUAAUGAACUUUAAAAGAUGUUUGAAAUAAUAUUUAUUUAAAAAACAGAAGCUUUUCUUUUGGGAAUUAUGGGAUCAAAACCACCGAAACAGUAUAGAAAUUUAUUUAUGUAUGCAGCCACAGCUGCAAGAAUGUUAUUUGCCCAAAAAAGGAAGGAAGAAGAGGUAUCAACAAGAGAAGAAUGGAUACAGAAGUUAAUGGACUAUGCAGAAAUAGCAAAACUUACCAGGAGAAUAAGAAAUCUAGAUAACAAUUUUUUGUAGAAAGGAAUGGAAAUGUUUUAUUGAGUAUUUACAAACAAACUGUAAACAGAUCAAGAAAUUGGCAGGAUUAAUGUAAAAACCUGCAGUUUCAAAAUAUAUAAAAGAAUAUGUUCAGAUAAUUUGAGUAUGCAGGAAGAUGAAAAGAAAUGUAAAGAACCACAGAAAGAGGGGUAAGGGAGUCGGAGUUUGAAAUGUUAAAAUUAUGAUUGAAUAAUUGUUGUAAUGUAUAUAUAAAUGAAAAGUGUUGUUGUUGUUGUUGUUGUUAUUAUUAUGAAGUACUUUUCUGUUGCAUGCUGAAGCUGUCUCUCUUUACUCCAGCCCUCUUUACUGGAACACCUGGGAGAUGUUUUAGUACCCACCCUAUUCUUGUUUGUUUUACAACUUUAUCAUUAUUACUUUAGAAUAUAUAUAUAUAUAUAUAUAUAUAUAUAUAUAUAUAUAUAUAUGUAUAUGUAUAUGUAUAUAUACAUUGCUUAAUUGCAAUUGUCUCUAAGUGGAGUACAAUUAGUUAAAAAAUGAGGGGUACAGUUAUAACUUCAGAAUUCAGUUAAGAUGCCUGCUGGAAUAGAAAAAAGUCUUCAUUAACAUCACAUUUUUAAAUUACUGUAAUCUGCUCUGGAGCCUUAUGGAGAAGGGGAGGUAAAAAUCACCGUUGUCAUCAUCAUCUGCUGGAGAACUAUACAUUUUUCAAAGCACUAUUAUGCCACUUUGACUGUCUUGGCUGUCCUCCCUCCAAAAUAAAAAAUCAAAAAUCCUGGGAUGUGUAUGUUGUUAAGGACUCAGAGUUAUUAGGAGACUCAAUUUCUCCUUCCAGAAUUUCAAUUUUCAGAGCAAUUUAACAAUCAGUCCCUCUUCCAGGAUUCUUUGGCAAAAGCCAUGACUAUUAAAGUUGUAGAAUAGUGCUUUAAACGUGUGGUGUGGAUGUUGAAAAAUUGGUUCUAGAACCUGUAGAGCAAUCCUAACCAUGCCUACUCAGACGUAAAUCACAUUGAAUUCAGGUAAAAGCAGGAGGGAAAUUCAGUUCAGUUCAGUUUGCAUUUAAAGGCAGACUUGCCUAACUCAAACUUUAUGAAAAUUAAAAUAAAUACACAAACUGAAACUGCGCUCCAUUGAUACUUACACUUCUAUGAAUUUUGCAGUGCAGUUCUCCAGCCGUGAAAUGUGUUCAAAAUGUGCACACAUUCAUGAAACAAACAUACAAAAUGCAUUAUAUUUGGAUAAAUGGCACUGUGAAAAUGGGCACACGAGGCAAAAUUGCACACAAAUGUGCAUACAGUCAUACCUCGGGUUGAAGUAGCUUCGGGAUAAGUAUUUUCUGGUUGCGCGCUGCAGCAACCAGGAGCGCGUUACUUCCGGGUUUUGCCACUCGCACAUGCGCAGAUGGUCAAAAUGACGUCAUGCACAGAAGCAGCGAAUUGCAGCACACGCAGACGCGGGUUGCGUUCGCUUCUGGAUGCGAACAGGGCUCUGGAAUGGAUCCCUUUCACAUCCAGAGGUACCAAUGUAUUAGGAGAACUUCACACUAAUGUGAAUUUAACAUACAGUAUAUAAAAUGGAAAACUGGCAUAAACUGAAAUUGGCAGAUUCUCCCUUCCCUGCUUCCAGGUAAGUGAGGUUAAGAUCACCUAAAUCAGCCUAAGUCCCACCUUGAAAGGCCACUGAAUUUUGCCUCUCUAUUUUCUCUCUGUUCUCUCCAGCUUUACUUUCCCCAUUCUAUUCACUAAUCUUUAACUUUGCACCAAGCCUGGCAUGCGCAGGAAAGUUUAUUACGCCCCAUCUGCACCAGUCUAGUUACAUGCCCAGUGAAUUAUUUCUGGAAAGAAUCAGUCCAGCACAAGUAAUUUCAAUAAAACAACCUUUAUACUUUAGGAAAUAUAGAUGUAAUAUUGCUGCAGUUUAAUAACAAAUACUAGAGCCUCUGUGAUAAUAUCUUUAAAGUGUGAUUUUAUGACAGGCCUUUUCAUUGCAAAUGGGAAAUACAUUGUUGCAUGCUACCCCAGUCUCUGAGUGGUGCGAAAUUCCAGAGGUUCCGGGUGCUUACCCAGGGUUCGGUUUCUUUGGAAUAAGGGACAACAGAGGUGUCUUUAGGAUAUAUAGUUUGUUUAUGCAUAGAUACAACCUGAGCCUAGGAUGGAAGGGCUCACAGCAUUAACACCCCAAGAGGGUCUUGCUUCUCCCAUGGCCUGUUGCAGAAUACCUGGGGGAACAAACCCACCAGUCUGGAUACAUUAUGUUUCUAAAUGGCAGCUUCUGAAAAUCACAGAAAGGGAGAUCAGGAAUGCCUUCAGGUUCUGCCUGUGGGCAUCUGGUUGGCCACUGUGAGAACAGGACACCGAAAUAGAUAAACCACUAGCUUGAUCUAGCAGGGCUGCUCUUAUGUUCUUAAUCUGAGCAUGAUCCACCCUGCCGCUUGAAUGCUUACAGCACAAAGCAGAUAUUGAGAGUUGUGUGGGAAGGAGCCACUCUAAAUUUGCCCUAGUUUUGGCUGUGGCUGGAGUUAAGUGGUUGUCUGAUCAUUUCUCAGAAACUAGCCGAGCAACCAAGCGUUGAAAAGCUCAGACAAGAUAUAGUUUUAAUAUAUUUUCUCUUUUUAAAAUUAUAGCUAAGUAACAUGCUGAAGCAACCUGGUGGAUUAAAUUGUAAUUCUGAGAAAGAAAGAGAAACCAGCAUCUAUCCCAUUUACAUUCAUUCUAAUGCCAGCUCAUAAAUUACUCCCCUUUCAGGUAGGGAACAUUCAGCCACAUCCGUAAAUUAAACAAAAUGUGGAAUUGAAUGUUCUUUGGAGAUGCAUUUAGUUCUCUAUAAAGUCCAGUUUGCAUUUAUUUGAUGUAACAGGUUGAGUGCAAUGGUUUUGUGGGGUAAUAAAAAUGAAGUAAUUCAUAGUAUUUGCUAGUAGGGGUGUCAAAACAAAAAUAACAGCCCCAGACUGAAAGACAGAAAUUAUGUUGAUUAAUUGGCUUUUUCUGGUAUGGUGGGUAUUAAUGGCACUGGAACAGGGUCGGGGGAAAUAAGAUGGUAUCCCAAGGGAUAGCACAAGUAGGGGGUCAAGUGAGCAUUAAAUGUCUCUGUUAGGAUAUCCAUAUGUCUUACUUUCCAGAAGAAAGUAUUGUUGUAUGCAUCCAAAUCUCCAAGCAGUGAGAUACUCCAUGUUUUCCACAGCUUAUCCAGUGUUCGGUUUCAUUUGAAUGGAGGUCUGUGGAAACUGUGAUGUCUUUAGAAUAUACCGUAUUUUACCGUGUAUAAGACAAUAUUUUAUCCUAUAAGGUAAUAGUGUGCGAUUUGCAUUAGUGGGCAGGUUGUAGAGCGAUUGGCUCAACUUUGGGCAAUUUCCUCCCCAAACUUUUUUGUUGUGGUCCAAAAAAAAGGGGUCAUCUUAUACAUGGGGCGUAUGUUAUACACGGAAAAAUAUGGUACUGUUUUAUUUACACACAUGUAUAACCUGAGCAUAUCAUGGAAGGAAGGGCCCACACUCCAAUAGACACUCCAAUAGAUCUUGAUUCCCCAUUAGGUUCCCACAGAGUUCCCCAGAUCAUUGCUUUGGGUCAAGCACAGAGCAGAAGAAUCCUCUUUUUCCUUUUCACUCCCAAGCUUCAGUCAAACUCACCCCCACACAAACUGUGGCUAUUAUUCUUCUACUUUACAAGGUGAUGCCACUUCCAACUUCCAUUUGUCUCUAUGGCAACAGGGCAGACUGUUUGGGCACGUAAAUGGUGGUUCUUCACUGGCCAGCUAAAAGAAUUAUUUUUACAAAAAAACUGGUCUGACUGGUUUAGUAUGUUUCCUCUUAUAGAUUCUAACCCCGCAGAUACAAGAACUUAGAUCUGGAAGGGACCCUUAGAAAUCAUCCAGUCUGACCCACCAAUCCUAUAACUCUGGGAAUUAGACUCUAGUUCCCAUUUGCAAAGUAUGCGGAAAAUAGCCCUGGUUCAUUUCACCCUUUAAUUAGUUCUCUUUUCCCCUCCUUAAAAAACUACGCAAGACACUCUCUUUUAAAGUUUAAAAGAACAUGCAACUUUUACUUACUGCACUUGCAGUUGCAGAUUAAUUAUACUGUGCAGGUGGAUGUUUCUUAAAACGCUAAUACGUCGUUCAUAGAUUAAACUGUUGCAGACAAACUAACUGAGGCAGACAGCAGCACAUCAGAACCUACCUGCUGCUCUAAAUGCUAAGACUGUUUAUGCCAACUGGCAUAACUGCCUCAGGUGAAUGACAGCACAGAAUUCUACAGCUUUUGCAAUUAACCCUUUACAUAUGCAUUUUGGAUGCUAACAUCCCACAUGCUAUAAUAGUAUGUUUCUAGGGUAUGCAGAAGGUAGAUCUUUUGAUUCCGCACAAAUAACACCACAACAUUCAUUAAACUCUCCCCUGAGCAUGCAUAGUGGCUAUCUCAAGUGUACGUACCAUUCUUAGGGUGAGCUCUCCUUUAAAAACUAGCAAUGGGAUUGUGCAUUCUAAGCUUUUGAUUGCUGUUGUUGCUAAAUUAAGCUGCUGAGAUGAAGAAAGUUUUGUGUGACGGGUCUGAACUCAGUUUUGGUACUGAAAACAAAAUCCUGUGCUGAGCAUUUGCUCAGAGGCACCCUGUACUUUAAUUAUUUGCCCACAUCUGCUCUCCUGCACCCUUUUUUUUAAAAAAAAAAAUUUCACCUGGCUCCGCUUGUGGUUUUCCAGUUAAAAAACCCCAGGUUGAUUCAACAACCUUGUUGUCUGCCCACUCCUGCUUCUCUCUCUGAAGGGCUGUCUAGUCAAGAUAAAGAGUAAUCUGAGGCACCGAGUUCCACACAACAUUGGGGAAUAACAUUGGCUGCUUGUGUGUGUGUGAUGUCACACGUGAUACCAUGCAUGUUGGGAGGAGGCCACGAGGCCCAGGGCGGACCUCUGCUGCUGUGGGUAGGCACGACAGGGCCCUCCACCACCACCAUGGACAGGGCCUGGCCACUCAAGACUGGGGAGGCUCAGUUCUAUCUCCGCAUGCUUGGGGGGUGGGGCUGAGCUGUCCUCAACCCCAUAGAGUUGGUGCCUAUGGUAAGGGAGAGCAGCAGCAGUUGUCCAUCAACUGUUACUCUCAGGGCAGAGGACUGAGAGUUGUAUUCUGUAGUGCUAAGUUAAAGUCGCUCAGCAGCAUGCUUGUGCCAGCGGUGAAAUGUAUUGUACCGGCUGCACAAGAGAAUGCAUAAGCAGAUUGCAAUCUCUGCGCAGUUUAUUGGGCAAUGAGCUUCCAUGGGCACAACUUGCAUUGGAUUUCUGUGUUGUGUUGUUGUUGUUGUUUAGUCAUUUAGUCGUGUCCGACUCUUUGUGACCCCAUGGACCAGAGCACGCCAGGCACUCCUAUCUUCCACUGCCUCCCGCAGUUUGGUCAGACUCAUGUUUGUGGCUUCGAGAACACUGUCCAACCAUCUCGUCCUCUGUCAUCCCCUUCUCCUGUGUUGUACAAUGUUCUAAUUCCCCUAGUGGAAGAGAAAGCUGGAUACAGCUCUGAGCAGGCAGACAGGUAAAUUGACCACAGUCUUUUUUUGCUAUGGUGAGAUGUAGUCUGUUCUUGUUAAAUUUCAGCCAUUAUUUCUAAGUUUGCAUAUAUAAAAUUAAUUAGCAUAUACUAUUUUAUGCAAGUUUGUGUCCUCUUCUUUUGUUGAUACAUAUGUGGCCACCUUGGUCUCUGAAUUGGACUGAUAGUAAAAUGUGAUGGACAGUAAGAAUGCUGUUUUGCAUAUUAAAGGAAACAUAAGAAAGCAAGUAUAUGGUACAUGAAAAUGCAGUUGAUGAAAAAAAUUUUUGGUCCAAACCUUGAGAAUUCUCUGGAACCUUUAAGGGUUGCACAGUCUGAUAGCUCCAUGUUUUCCUGCUAUCGCAGCACAUGGUGCCAAGAAAAAAAUGCAUUUAUCAAAAGCCACCCUUUUAUACAACUUGUUAAAGUGCAGCAGCCCAUUAAGGACCUGCACUUGGCAACAAAGUAAAUGUGAUUUGAGCUAGUUGGAAAUGCCAGCUGGGUUUCAGCCCUAGGGCAGAAUAGAUAAUAGGAAACAGGUCUUCAUAUAAAUAUAAACCUGUCGUGUCCUUUUGCAAAAAUGGCAAACCACUCUACCAGCAAUUCCGGCCAUGUUUGACCUAAAUGACACUUGCAAGCAAGUAGCUAACCUCCUGUUGUUGACUUGUCUUCAGAACAUAACUAAAAGCUUUGGCGGUGUCUCCCACCCACCUGUAAGCUUUCUAUAGCCCAGAUUUCGAGAAGAGCAGGUGGGAGGCAACAACUGCAAAGUAAACAUAAUUUGUGUAUAAUGACUGCGCACUUAAGCCAUGUUUUCCUGCAGCCUUGUUUUGAGCAAUGGUUUGCUGUUGCCUAUAAAACUGGGGAAGAUGAAGCCUCAUGGGCAGAAAGAUAAUGUACUGCUGCAUGCCACCCCAGUCUCUGAGUGGUGUGCGAUUGCAGGGGUUCCAGAUACUUACGCUGGGUUCGGUUUCCUUGGAGUGAAGGAUAGCGGACAUUGUGAUGUCUAUGUGAUAUGGUUCAUUUACAUAUAUACAACCUGAUCUUAAGAUAGAGGGGCUCACAGCAUUAACACCCCAGAAGGUAUUGCUUCUCCCAUAGUCAUAGCCUUAGAUUUAAGCAGAAAUCAUGCAUGGCUCUCACUCUCUGGCUUCUACCAGCUUCAGCCUGCUUCUAGCUCAGCUCUGUGCCACACACCUGCAGGAGACUGCAGGAGGAGGAGAAGGAGCCAGCCACUGGAGCUGCUCCACCUUCUGCUCUGUGCUUCGCCUCUGCUCUUUUUGGACAUGGGGGGCAGCCCCAACUCCCAAAAUAUAGAGGGGGGGCAAAGGAGCUGGAGCUCGUGCCCCUGAAGAUGGGUUAGGUCCAUAGCUCGGUUGUAGAGCAUCUGUGUUGCAUGCAAAAGGUCCCAAUUUCAAUCCCUGGCAUCUCUGGGUAAGGCUGUAAAAACUCCCUGUCCAACACCCAUGGGAGUGAUGCUUCCAGUCAGUAUAGAUAAUACUGAACUAGGUGGAACAAUGAUCUGACAGUUCCACUGAUAUAAGGCAGUUUCCUAUGUUCCUUUAGUGGGGAAGAUCCAUAGGUGAUAAAAACAUCCCCAUAGCGUUCAGAAAAGUUCACAUGAAGCCAACCAUUUAUUUGUCUGAUGCUGAGAAUGCUGGGGCAGCUUCUGCUGAAUGAAACUCUGUUAAGGGUUCAGAAUAGCUCUUUUGUUCCAUCUUUAGUUACUGGAACCUGGUUAUCCUAUGCCAUCAGCUGCUUAUUAUAGAUCUCAAAAAUUUUCCACAUGACCCCUGUUUAGGCAUCUACCUGGCUGACGUAACAGAGCUCGUUCUGGAACAAAGGUGAAUUUAUUUUGAACAGAGACAGGAACAAAGAGGCAGGAUCACUGCUGACACUCUGUUACGGAGUGUUUCUAGAGCUUGGUUGGUAUAUCUGAGCUUUUGACAGCUCCCCUAAUUUCUUCUGGCACAAAUUAAUUUUUUGUUUGGCCAAAUGUCAAUGCGGCUCUGAGAUCUGAGUUGCAUUGACAUUUGUCAAACACAGAUUAAAUCAGUGAUGUGAUUUUUUGGCAGAUAGCUCAGUGGGUAGAGCAUGAGACUCUUCAUCUCAGGGCUGUGGGUUUGAGUCUCAUGUUGGGCAAAAUAUCCCUGCAUUGCAGGGGGUUGGACUAGAUGACCCUCACUGACCUCUUCCAACCCUACAGUUCUAUUAUUCUAUGAACCUUCUCUUUGCUGCUAUUGAUUUUCCUGGUUACAUUUGUGACAGAUGUUAGACAGAGGUCUCAUCAAACAAUCUAGAAUUUCAUGCAGGUGGUUUACAAGAGGAUGGAGUUCAUCUUGGCACUCCACUUGAAGGAGCGCAUCUAAAGGGGAGAGAAAGAGAGCCAAGUUAAGAUAGCCCCUUCCAAGCAAGGAUAGGGAACCUGUGACCCUCCAAGUGUUGUUGGGCUCCAGCUCCCAUCAGCCUCAGCUGUCAUGCUCAGGGAUGAUGGGAGUUGCUGUCCAACAAUACCUUGAGGUCUACAGGUCCACUCCACCCAAUGAAGACUAAGGGCACUAAAAGCAUCACACAUCAAAGGGUUGGGUAAUGUGAUAUAGUUAGAUUACAACUUCCUUUGUCUUUGGCCAUUGGCCAUGCUGACUGGAGCUGAUGGGAGUUUGAGUUUGAGUCCAACCACAUCUGGUUGGCAACAGGUUCACACCCCUGUUCACAAGGCACUGUGCGAGCGCCUGCAAAAGCCACAAGUUAGGAGUGGAGGCAGAGCAGAAUAUUUAAAGGUGAACGGGCCUGUUUUUCUAGAGAAAAGUUUUUUAACGUACAAUCUGUAACAUUCUUUUCAAAGCAGCAAGGAAGCUGGGGUAUUGCUUACAGCUACUUGCAAUGUGCAAACAGCCAGUCAUCAGAUUUUAUAUAUUGAAAAGAUUAACCUAACAAAAUUUUAAUAAAGAAAAAAAAAGUCAAGGACAUUUCAUUUUUAAAAGUAUUCUGAAUCUGAAUAAACCUCAGUGUUCUUAACGUGUGUUCCUCAGGCUGCACUCCUGAACACACUUUGCUAGGAAAAAGUCCCAUUCAACACAAUGGAUGUUACUUUUGAGUAGGCAUGUAUGAUAUUGCAGUGUAUAUCUAUAAUCUUAAACACAUUUAUUUAGGAAUAAUUCCCAUUGAGCUCAGUGGAACUUUCUUCCAAGUAAACAAACAUAGCAUCAGGCUGAAAAUCUUGUUUGAAAAAUAAGGAACAGCCAAAGUUUAAGAAGUAGCAAUGUUAUUACCAUCUUCAAGCAAAAGCUUUUCUGUCUGAGGAAUGUUAAUGCAACUGAAUUUGAAGAAGUAGUAGUACCAUUGUUUCCAAUUACAGAGAUAUUUGUGGGAGUACUUCCCUAAGCUGUGUUUGGUAGAAAGUGACCCUGAGCUCUAAAUGCAGACAGCUCUUUGUAUCUACUUCAUCUGUCCAAUAUAGUCUCAAAUGGGGUUGCAAAUGACAUCUCACCUGCAGCACUUGAAUCUUCAUCUGUUCGACAAACUAAUUUCCUACAAGGCUGAACUUCAAAGUGCCAAAGAGGGUAGCAGAUUAUCUCUGUACAAAAUAGGAUCGUUCAGCAGACAUUAAUAAUAAACCAUUAAAUCCUUCCAUUGCAGAUUAUAGGAAUAAGAGAUUUGAAACUAGCCACAACACUGAACAACAACUUGUUUUGCUGCAAAACAUGUCUUAAGAGGCAAACAAAUUUCAAAACCCACUUUAGAAAAUGACCCACUGUUCUAUAUUACAGAGAAGCUUUUGAAGUCAAUUAGACCCUGAUUAUUUGUACACUAGACAAAUAUUUAAAAAAACCAAAAUGAUUUUUAUUUUAUUUUUUGCUGUGGUCAUCCACUUGUUAGCUUCCAACUUAAAAAGGAGGGAUAUGAAAAUAAACAAGCACAUUUUCUAUCCCUGUGAAGAGAGCCCUUCCUUAAAGCAUUUUAAUCAAAUCAGGGUUUGUACAUAUUAGUGGCAAAAAUACAGGGGUUGUUACCACUCAUGCUGCUAUUUAAGUUGCAUUUUCACAUUGCUGUACACAUCAGAGAGAGGCAGGGAUGUCUUCAUCAAAUAUGCAUUACCUAAUUUGUUUCCCCACGUCUGCAACCCCUUGAACUAUUUUUCAACAAAGUUGUUGGCUGCACAUGUGCAAUGGUAUCUCAAAUAUUCACACCAUAGCUGUCAACUUUCAGAUUUGAAAAUAAGGGAUCAGCAGCCUCGAAAAUAAGGGAUCAGCAGCCUCACCUGUCCCGGGGACUGUCUACGGGACAUCUAACUAUCCGGGAUAGCAGCGGGAAGCAGCAGGAAACGGCGCUGGAAUAAGGGAAUUUCCCGCAAAAAAAAGAGAAGGUUGACAGCUAUGGUUCACACCUCAGCUUAACUGCAGUUUAUGUUGGAUGGAAGCUAGUUUGAGGAAUAAUGCACCAAGCAGCAGUAUUUCUCAAGAAACUACAGAAUACCUAUGGCUUGUGGCUAAUGUAAUUUGUACAAAGGCCAGGGUAAAGAGGUGUGUCUUAAGGUAGCGUUGGGGAAAACUCCUAUUUCAAGCCAUGGAGAAUCAUUGCCAGCCACUAUAGACAAUACAAAGCUAGAUCAAUCAGUGAGUUUGACUCAGGCCACAUUUAUACCAUACUUUUAAAGCACUAUGGUGCCACUUCAAACAUGGGACUCAGCUACUUUAGUAAAGAAAAAGUGUUUUAUACACAUUAUAACACUGUGACACCAGAUGGCACUGUGGAGUCCUGUCUUUUGCCAACAUGAUUUCCCAAUAUGAGGUUUACAACGUGUUUAACUGAAUCUCUAUUUUGAUGUGUCUAGAUCCAGCCAAGCACAGCUUUCCCCAAAGAAUUCUGGGUGCUGCAUUUUGAUAAGAGUGCUGAUCGUUCUUAGGAGACCCUGUUCCCCUCAGAGAACCACAAUCCCCCAAAUUUCCUGGGAAGAGGGCUUGCCUGUUAAACCACUUUGGGAGUUGUAGUUGGGAGGGAAAUAAGGGUCUCCUAACCACUGCUCCCAGAAUUCUUCGGCUGAAGUGGUAACAUAGAGCUUUAGAUAUAUGGUGAGACUGUGGCCACAGUAUAAGGCAAGGCAACUUUCUUUAUUUCUUUUCCCUAGCCAUCCAUUCAUUACCGACUGACACUAAACUUCUAUCCUAAUCAAUGAAACUAUUUCUGCUCAGCAGAGAACACUGUUGGCUUUUCAAGCAGAUUUCUUCUGCUUAUUGGCUCUGAUGGUGAGUCAAGGCGAUCCACACAUUUCCUUCACUUUAUAUGACUUCCUUGACUGACUUUCUCCUCGAGGAGCUGAGCAUGUUUGUCAACGGCAGUCAUGUUGCAGCGAUGUUGCAUCGUGCUGCUAGCCAGGACAAAAUCAGAAGGAAGACUCAAAGGUGGUAUAAAAAGAAUUAUUUUCCCCGCUGCUGGAAGUUAACAGUCCUGUCUAUUAUUUUCCAAUGGCAGAAGAAGAUUUGUUUAGUUCCUGAAACAGCCUUGGGCAAGGGAAUGGAACAUUUAUGCAAUAAUGAGCUAAAUGACUGAAGUCCCUCUGGAUUAAGCUGAAUGCACACCGUGAGCGGUCCAACAUCUUGCUUCCAACAGCAGUGAGCCAUGCGUUUUUUUGCCAAGCCUACAAGCAGGACAGGGCAAUAGCCCUGUGCCACAGUUUGUCCUUUAGGAUCUAUCAUUCGGAGGUAUCAUCUGACAUAGAGAUCCCUUAUUAUUACCCCUCCCUUUAACAGCAAGCUCAAGCAUUGAGUGCCAAUGCCCAGUGAUUCCCAAAAGGGUGUGGCAUGCUGCAUUACUGUGGCAGAAAAGGAUGGCAAGUGUGGUGAUAAGAUUCAAGGACAAUUAAAGAAACAUAUAAAACUUCCAAUGUAGUAUAGUAUAGCAUUAAAAAAAUGCUUUAUUUGCCGAAUAUAGAUAGGUAUAUUUUCACUGCUCGUUGAGUUUGUCUACAUACUGAGGGUACAUUUGUAAGAUGCUCGUUUGUAACUACAUUUUGGGAAUGAAUCUUGUUCUUAUGUAGCUGCAUUGUUUCAAACUUUCUGGAUGUCUCAUGAUCCUAUCAUAUAGUCAUUGUGUUCCAUUUUAUAAAUCAAGCACUGCUAGGAGUUGUUUGUGAUUUUCCCCUUCAAUGCAUAUCUUAUCAAUUAAAAAAUUGCUUUGGUGUGAGCAGAUUUUUAUUAUGAAAGUGUAGCCCAGAGAAAAAUAGUUUGAGAACCACAGGGUUUGACAGUCAAAAUGGGGACUCUGGGAAACAAAAGAGAGGUGUCUGCAAGGUCAGGGGAAACCCAAAUUUUAUGUAAGUGCCAAAAUCCUUCCAUAAGGUCACUCCCCACUCCCCCGGCAACAGUACAAAGGGGUCUGAGUAUGUUCAUGGGUCCCAGAAUACUCUGCCUGUUAGAAGGGAGAAUGGAAAUAAUGCAAGGAACAUAAUCCUGGAACAUGGCACGGGGGGGGGGGAGGGCUGCAACUCUGAAGAGGAGCACUUUAUGCUGCAACACUGGGUUGCAGGUUCCAUGUGUAAAUGCCAGUGGGCAUUCAUAGAUGAUUCUCCAUUAAUUUGACUACUUCCCAUUUUAAAGCUAAGUAUGACAAAGAAGCCCUACCGUAAGGACAGCAUAUUUUGGAAGACCAGUAAAUGAAGAUACAUGUGUAUGUUUCUUUCUAAUGAUAUAUACUGGUGUAUAUAUAAAUAUCAGAAUAUUUCAAUAUUCAAACUACCCUCAUUCUUAAAAGUAAUUAUGCAGGAUGCAAUCCUGCUGCUUAAACUCUAUCUGCAUAUAAGCAAAAUUUCAGCAGCCCAAGAGUCACAAAUCUGAGCAAUCAUUUCCAAAAUUGGUGAUGGUCCAUGCUGAUGUUUAAGGGUUGCAUCCAACUACUUUCUACUCAGAGUAAAUUCAUUGGAAUUAAUGGACCUGAGAUAGUCUAUUAAUUUCAGUGGGUCUAUUUUUUUGGAUAAUAUUUUUAUUGAUUUUUUACAUAACAAAUUUAAAUUCACAUCCAUCCAUCACCUCCUCAUUUAGGAUUCUCUGAAUCCCUUGACUUCCCUCUGCCCUUCCAUGGUUAUCAUUAUCAAUCCAAUUUUCUAUCUGCUUAUCUUAUUUUCUCUAAUUUUUAAAAGUAUAUUGUCCAUUUUCCUCUCUUUUUUUGUACAUUACAAGCAUUACUCAAAUCCUGCCAAAGUUUUUUAGUUGUUUACACUAUUCUCUUAAGUACAUUAUAAUUUUUUCCCAUUCCUUCUUUAAAAUUUCCUCUUCCUGGUUUCUGAUUUUCCCAGUCAUUUUCGCCAUUUCCGCAUAGUCCAUCAUCUUCAUCAGCUAUUCCUCUCUGGUUGGAACUUCAUCUUCUUUCCAUCUCUGGGCUAGUAAUAUUCUCGCUGCUGUCCCUGAAUACAUGAAUAAUCUUUUUUGCUCUCUCGGAAUCUCUGUACCUAAAAUGCCUUACAAAAAUGCAUCUGUUUUUUUCACAAAUGUUAUUUCAAACAUUUUUUUCAACUCAUUAUGAAUCAUUUCCCAGAAUGCUUUAGUCAUCUUGCACGUCCACCACAUAUGGUAGAAUGUGCCUUCUUUCUCCUUACAUUUCCAGCAAACAUUAGAAGCACUUCUAUACAUUUUCGCUAAUUUUACUGGUGUUAAAUACCACCUAUGCAUCAUUUUGAGCAUUGGAUAGAACCCUCAGGAUUAAUAAAUUCAACCACACACAAAAACACAUUUGGAAGAACAACACACACACACACACCACUCCACAAAAAAGGUAAAAAUGUGAAAUCUAAAGCAAGUACCCAGGAAAGCAGAGUUCGUGAGUCCCUGGAUGUUCUUUUCCCACUGCUAACUGCUUCCCCCUGAAAAUCGAAACAGCUUGUGACAUAUAGCGCAAAGUACUCAGAGUGAAGUCCCAGCUCCUAAUAUUGUAUUUUUUUUUUUUUUUGGAAGACAGACAGUUCUCUUACCACAUACACAAAUAUUGAUCUGUUCUUCUUGGCUGCCUACUGUGACAUUGCAGCCUUGCUGCUUUUUACACCAACAGAAGGUGUUUUGUGAUUUGUACGGUUGCCAUCCUUUUACAAUAAUAUUACUGAGGCAUAAGAUUUGGUUCCAGGAAUUUUCUGCAUCUGGCAUAUCCAAGCUAAAACAUUUCUUGAAGCAACCCAGGAGGAAGAAGAGAUGAGGACUGGUGUGGAUUUUUCUUGCAAAAGGGAGAAAGCUGUUAAAACAAACACCGCAAAUAUAUCCCAGACCUUAGAACAAUACAAUAUCUUCUCCCUGUAAUUGAAUCAAAAUAUUUGCUCUACAAAUGGGGGAAGACUUCGUAAAUCCGUGGCUUCAGACGAGAGUGGUCUUUUUGAAACUCAGAUAUAUAAUAGAUCAAAAGGCAUUAAAUUCCCAGUAUACCUAAAACGCCAUAUUCUCCAAGGUACGUAACAGCCUUUCCAAAUAAAAUCUUAAGUAAGCUUUAUGAAAAUAACCGUUGUAAAGGUGGGAAAUGUAUAGGUUUUAUGUAAUGUGCUGUUUCUCAGUUGUUGACCUCAGUACACUUGAACUUGUAGUGUGGAUCUUCUGUAGCUUUUAAAUAAAGUCACUCCCCUCUUAAGGAACUCUGGCCAUUGUUGCUCUGUGAGCACGAGAACAAAGGCAGUAGGGAUCAGAGUUAAUGUAUCUUAUUUCCUCAAGUACCUUAAGAGUCCCACUGUGUCUGGUAUGUUCAAAGCCAACUGGUUAUUCAAGAUUAUGGUUAUUUUCAUCCCCAGCCACACUUUUAGGUUUACUUAUAUUUCUGCCACUUAGCUCCUCACUGAAGUAGGCUGCCCCAGAACCUCUCUUCUUGGUUUCCUCCUCCCUUAAUAAUGCCUGCCAUCCCUUCUUAUUCAGAUGCAUUCCUGCAUUGCAGGGGGUUGGACUAGAUGGCCCUUGUGGUCCCUUCCAACUCAAUUAUUCUGUGAUUCAAUGAUUAUAAUUAAUCUGUCGGUAUCAUAGGCCCCUGGAAGCUGUCAUCAUGCCACAGCAGCCACACCCUGGGAACAGCUUCAACUGGCCGACUAAACCAGUUGACCAUAGGCAGUGGGUCUUGGUGAGUUAAGGACUUCUCCUGCAUGCAAAGACAGGCUCUGGCAGAUUGAGUAAACAAGACCAAUAUUUGGUCCAAUGGUCAAGAAGGCAAUUUCUGCACAGUGGUGAAGAUGGGGCUCAUCAACCUGGGAAGGUAGCCCAUCUAGGAGAAGGAAAACUCUUAUCCUAAACCUCUGCUGCCUUGCAGAAUAUCUUCAGAAGAAAAAGCUAAGGAGUGAACCCUAUACAAAUCUGGUGUGGAGUCCCUAAGGCAGUUGGAUGGUGCCUUGCACGCAUCCUUCCAGCAACAACUGCAGCUAAAUUGGUGCCAAACAUAUUGUUCUGCUUUUUUUUGGACCAUAUCAGUGAGGCCGAGAGGGGGGCCUUGUCGUUUGGGCAGCCCAGGACCACCAGACAAAUUGCCCAGUCCUGCAUCCUGGGAAGGUCACUUUGGUGCUACUAAUGCAGCAGUGUGACUUUAACCGCAGAGUAGCACCCCACUGUCUCUCAAGACAGAUGGAUGCCAACAGCAUCAUAGGCCCCAUCUGCACUGUACAUGCAAUGUGGUAUCAUACUGCUUUCAGCAGUUAUGGCUUCCCCAGGGAGUUGUAGAUUGUUGAUUUUGAGAUCCCGCACAAUACAACAAACCCCGGCCCCCCAUAUGAUUUUUGCAGUAGGGAAAGUGACAGGAGGGUGCAGUAGAAAGUGUGACAUAACAUUAUCUAACCUCCUCACAAACAAAUCAGAAUGAAUCCUCAAUAGCCUGGAGAAGAGGAGACUGACAGGAGAUAUGAAAACCAUAUUCGAAUAUAUUAAUGGCCGUCACAUAGAAGAGGAAGCAUGCUUGUUUUCUCCUGCUCUGGAAGGUAGGACUCGAACCAAUGGCUUCAAGUUACAAGAAAGGAGAUUCCAACUAAACAUUUGGAAAAGCUUUCUGACAGUCAGAGCUGUUCGGCAGUGGAACAGACUCCCACGAGAGGUGGUGGGCUCUCCUUCCUUGGAGGUUUGUAAGCAGAUGUUGGAUGGCCAUCUGUCAUGGAUGCUUUAGCUGAGAUUCCUGCAUUGCAGGGGGUUGGACUAGAUGAUCCUUGGGUCCCUUCCAAUUCUAAGAUUUUAUGAUUCUUUGAUUCUAAACAGGUGGUCUGGAAGUAUGGGUGAGGGAGAGAUUGAUUCAGUUUGCAUUUAAUGGUGAAUCUACAAAAAAAAAUCACAGUGAAAUAAUACAUGAACGAAAACACAGCUAUCCUUUAGAAUUCCCUGUAACCCGAAUUUUGUGAUGUAGUUGUCCGGUCAAACUAUGGGUACAAAAAUAUUAGGGGAAAGUAUGCAUUAAACAAUGUAUUAUGGAAAAUGGCAUAACAAAAUGCAUUAUAUAUGGGGAAACAGCUUGCAAAAAAGUAUACAUGAGUUAAAACUAUAUGAAAAUGAGAAUGGCGGGGGGCGGGUGUCACAAAUUGCAGAGAACCACAUCUAAGUCUGGAAAAAUGAGAAACGGACAGGGUCAAAAUGGACAGAUACUUCUAUCUCUGUUUGAAAGCAAUCUCAGAGAGAAUGUUUGCAAUUUAGUACAGGCUAGAACCUGCUCUGCACUUGUCCCUCUGCGGAUGUUAGAAAUAGGAUGCUUUUGAUCCCUCUGCUCUUUUGAAUUUGUCCAUCCGGAAUGUGGCUGAUCCCUGCUCUCAUUUCCAUUAUCUGGGUUGAUCUAGGAAUGUUGUGUGGGGAAGAACGAACCUGCCUUUGUUACUGUACCUAUCAAAACCAGCCCGGUCAUUUCCAGCCACACAAUUUUAUGAUCCUAGAAAAUAAAUUUUAAAAUUCCCCCAGAAACAUGAAAAGCAGAAUACUAGGUUUUGUGACUCAUUUCAUAAGCAGAUGUAAAAGAAAAUAUGUUGUGUUUCUUAUCACUGUAAUAUAAAAGGGAAGGAUCUAUUAUUUUGGUAAAUCGAUAGAAGAAACAGAUGUCCCAGGAAGUGAUGGUUGAUUUUCUUUGAAGGAUAUUUACUGCUUGUUUAUCUCACCUUUGCUUAAGUACCAUACACACUUUCCCCUCCAGUCCUUUAAUCUUCACAACAAUCAAGUAAGAUGGGUUUGUCUUGAAGAAAGUAACCGACCCAUGAUCACCCAGUGAGCUCCAUGGCUGAGUAGAGACUUAAACUCAGGUCCCUCUCUUCCUAGUCUUCAGAUAUGUAUGCACCAUACAUUUAAAGGACAUCAAAAGCAUGUCACACCCACUCAAAAGAAUCCUGAGAACUGUAGGUGAUCAAGAAUGCUGGGAAUGGUAGCUCUCCAAGUAGUAAACUACAGUUCUCAGGAUUCUUAGUGGUUUCGAUGUGCUUUAUGGCACGCAUGCAACCUGACACUAAUUCCUAAAGAGAAGUUUGGCUUGGAAAAAGACAGAAGUCUUUAAUCAAAGCUCCUGUUUGUGUUUGCUGUAAGAAGGACAAGCAACAACAACUGAUGCUUAAGCAAUUGCUUGUCACCUGCUGGAUGCGAAAAUCCAUCUGAUUGUUAUUAAGGUUGAUUAAAUUUGCAAUGCUGAUAGAUCUGUAGCAAGUCUCCCCCUCUACCUUCCCAUGGCUUGAGGUGAUGUCAUCAAAGUGUGCGGCAAUAACAAUGGCAGGGCUGGAACUGGGGUCAAAAGAGCCCUGACUUUCUGGGAAAUUUUUGAUUCACUCUAGAAUAAAUUCAAUGUCACAUUUUAAUUACAAUUCUGAGUCCUGGGGCUUCCAUACUCAGCUUGCUACCUGUAUGCCUAGGCACCUCAGGGCAUUUGGGGAAAUGUAUAAUGACAGGUCAUAACAGACCCUCCAAGUGUUCCUAUUCUCCAGGGACAUUUUUUAUUUAGAGAAGCCGUCCCGGUUUCUGAUUUGAUCUUGGAAUGUCCCGCUUUCCCUAGGACGUCCCUAUUUUCAUUGGAGAAACGUAUGGAAUUAUCCAACCCCUGAGCCAUCUGAAGGCAAUCCUGUAUAGGGAAGUGUAGUGGUUCAAGGGGUUGCUCGUGCGUAAGCCGGUGCCCACACCUGACUGGGUUGCCUAAGUGAACCUUUUCUGUCCGGACAGCCACUCACCCGUGGCUGUCUCAAUCGCUGGCAGAAUCCGUCAGUGGGCGUUUCUUAAACUUCUUCCAGCAAAGUUCUUUCACGCCCAGUCGCCUCCUACUUUCCCUGCGCGGAAGCCUUCUGCGCAAAGAAGGCGUAGGCAGCGGAGGACCCUUCCUCCCCCCACUGGUCCCAGGCAAGGAGUCAUGUGACUCUCUCUCAGAUUCCCCCAUCUGCCCCCCUUCUCCACUGGAGCUGAGCUGAUUCCCUUCCCCAGAAGAUGGGCUGCCUCUCCCAAUCCCGUGACGCUCUCUGGGAUCCCUCUGGAGCUCUCUCUCUCCCUCCGGCACUGGUGGCAGUUCCCUGACAGGAAGUUUUUGGGUUUUUUAAACAUUUAAUAUUUUAUUAUGUUUUUAUAUAUGUUGGCAGCUGCCCAGAGUGGCUUGGGCAACCCAGUAAAAUGUGUGGGGUAUAAAUAGUAAAAUUAUCAUUAUGGAAUGGGACGUCCCUAUUUUCAUCAGAGAAAUGUUGGCGGGUAUGAACUGACUGCUACCUGGAGUGGGAACCCCAGAAUUGGCAUUGGCACCACUGGGAUCUUCCAGGAGCCCUGGAGCCCUGGCAGGUGCCUGCUAGUGUCAGGAGGUGCUGACCCCAGGCCUGGAUAGCUGCAUCAUAUACUCUCAGAUCUUAUCCCAUGCAGAGAUUUCUUCCUGAUUUACUUACCACACCACAUUUGUUUUUCAAUGUGUUUGUGUAGCAACGGGGACUGUACGUUGUCACAAAUGACUCAAGGUAAUUCUUAUCGUAGCAGUGUUUUCCCUUUCUGAUUAAAUGUCUGCAGGCUCCUCAUACCUCAGCCAGACAUUUAUUUACAUACCCCUCUCUUGCCCUGCUUCCUCCGUGCACUGGCUACAUUUCUCGUCAUUAGUUUUGCUUUUGCAGCCACAAUUUUAUUCGUUAAUCUUGCAAACUGAGUGCAGGUCAAGAUGGCUGCAUGCCAGCAUUAUAGGUUGCGGGGAGCAAAACGAAAAAUGAAAAACAAGCAGCACGUGUCAAGAUGAGAUGGGAAUUACAGGAAGGUCCUGGUACCUUGCCAAAUAGCAAUGCAUAAUGCCUACUCUGUUGUCAGAUAAACGUGGCCUGACUCCCAUACCUUUUGGGACGUUUCCCAUUAGUACUGCUCUCAGAAGGCUACAGGAAGAGGGUGUUUGUUUGUUUGUUUGUUUGUUUGUUUGUUUGUUUGUUUUACCAAGGUUGUUGUUCUUUAGUCAUUUAGUCGUGUCCGACUCUUCGUGACCCCAUGGACCAGAGCACGCCAGGCCCUCCUGUCUUCCACUACCUCCCGCAGUUUGGUCAGACUCAUGUUUGUAGCGUCAAGAACACUGUCCCACCAUCUCUCCCUCUGUCGUCCCCUUCUCCUUGUGCCCUCAAUCUUUCCCAACAUCAGGGUCUUUUCCAGGGAGUCUUCUCUUCUCAUGAGGUGGCCAAAGUAUUGGAGCCUCAGCUUCAGGAUCUGUCCUUCCAGUGAGCACUCAGGCUGAUUUCCUUCAGAAUGGAGAGGUUUGAUCUUCUUGCAGUCCAUGGGACUCUCAAGAGUCUCCUCCAGCACCAUAAUUCAAAAGCAUCGAUUCUUCAGUGAUCAGCCUUCUUUAUGGUCCAGCUCUCACUUCCAUACAUCACUACUGGGAAACCAUAGCUAUAACUAUACGGACCUUUGUUGGCAGGGUGAUUAACUCAAAGUAAACCUUGUAAGCCACUGCCAGUCAGUGAAAACAAUACUGAGCUAAAUAACCCAAUGGAGUGGAGUGCCUUCCAUCAGAUGUGCACUUAUCUGGACAGGGAUAGCCUAACAUCUGUUGUCUAUGCUCUGGAAACCUCUAGGUUAGAUUACUGGUACUAUCUGAAAACGGGUUUGGAAACUGUAGCUGGUGCAAGAUCAGCAGUCAGGUUGCUCAUCGGGGCAAAAUGGUUUGAACAUAUCACACCGAUCCCGGCCCGGCUGCACUGACUGCCAGUUAGCUUCCUGGACCAAUUCAAAGUGCUGGUUUUGCAUUAUAAAGCCUUAAACAGCUCAGGACCGCAAUACCUCCAGGACUACCUCUCUCCACAUGAACCUACCUGGACCCUGCAAAUAAUCAUCUGAGGCCCGGGGGUGGGACAACACAAAAAUGGGCCUUUUCUGCAGUGGCUCCCCAUAUGUGGAAUGCUUUGCCCAGAGAGGUUCGUCUGGCUCCUUCAUUAAAUAUAUUUAGGUGCCAGGCUCAAACGUUUCUCUUCAACUGAGCCUUUGGCUGAUUAACAUUCUAUGUCCUUUUAAAUGUGUUUCUGGCAGGGAGGUUAAUGGUUUGGUUUGGUUUUAUUAUGUUAUUUUGUAUUUUGUGUUCUCAUUUUGUACUUUUUAUGUUGUGAUCUUUGAAUGAAAGAUGGUAUACAGAAUGAAUGAAUGUGCUUCCUAUGUUCCAGUUUUGCUGCUAGUACUGUAGCUGGGGCCCACCAACUGUGUUAAAAUUAGCCAAUUGGGAGCGGGGGCAUGGAGGUAAUCAUUAACAUUUUGCAAUAUAUGUUUUUUCCUCCUAAAAGAAAACCUGCAGCUGGAGGCAUUAUGGAUGCACAACUUCCUGCAAAGCAAUUAGAAAUAUGAUGAAAUGAAACCUGGGUACACAGACACAAAAAGACUUAUGAAUAUCAAUGCUGGAGAGACCUACUCAACUAUAACAGGAGCAGUAUUUCAAAAUGCACCUUCUGCUUCCAAGCACUUCUUUUCUUUCAGAAAGAAAAAAGGGAAAGGAAAGAAAGGAGAAAUUUUCAGCACCCUCUUGAUAGCAUUCAAGACUUUCCACCUCUGUUGCUCUCUUUUAAAAAAGCAAUUCUGAGAAAUAAUAAUAACAAUAAUAUGGAAAUACUUAUUUUGCAAUCACUUUUAGCUGCUGGGCUAAAACUGGUAGUUUAGCAAUAAUUCUCAGCCCCAGGAUCUGGGUUUACUGUGCCAGCAAUGGGCAGCUCCCAGCAGUGGUAUCUGGUGAUCACUAGGACCGGUGGGUUGGAAGGCAGAGGAGCCAACAGGAGCUGCAGCCAGAGUCAAUGCCAGGCAUAAUCCAACUAUGAUACCACAUUAAGCAGUCAUGGUUUCCCUCAAAGAAUUAUAGGAGCUGUAGUUCAUUAAGGGUUCUAAGUACUGUAGUUUUCCGUGUAUAAGACAAUGGUUUUUUAUUGUAAAUGAAUGUUAAAAAUUGGGGGUGAGUGAUUUUUGGCAACCCCCCCCAAAAGCUCAACAACUCUGGGCAAUCCCCCCCAAAAAGCUUAAGAACUCAGGGAAAUCUCCCCCUAUUUUCUUAAUUUUGGGUCCCCAAAAAUAGGGGUCGUCUUAUACACGGGGGCGUGUUAUACAUGGAAAAAUAUGGUAUAUUGUACUGUGAUUUACAGAGGUACUGCAAUGUACAGGUUAGGGCCUAGGAGACCUGGGUUCAAAACCUCACUCAGCCUUUAAGCCCACUGUAUGCCCCUGGAGCAAUUGCUGUGAUUUCUACUUUGGUGAAUGAUGUCUGCUGCCUGCAAUCUUCUGUCUACUUACAUGAGAGUAAGUUGCAUCAAGCUCCUUUCUUAAUUCACCUGGGAAACAAGUCAUUGUGGUUGAUGCAGUAUUAAAGCAGCAUUACUCACAAGGGAAGGGGAUCGUGUCCUAGAUGCUGCACCAGCUCAAGGUCCCACUGUUCAGGCCCCACCUUUGGCAUUCUGAUUUGAAAGUCCCACUUAGGGCCGCAGUAUAGCUUACCGUCACCCUUUGGACCCAACCCAUACACCAACCAGAGCACACUUUAGGCGGACAUCACAAUUCUAACUCUUUACUCCUGUUAUUGCUUGCUCAGAGAUGACAUUGCUGGAACUCAAAGAGACUUCUGAGGAGUGUGUUAAUAGUGGCUUAGAACUGGAUUCAAAAGAAAUUGGCUGGACCUCCAGGUCAAGUUAUCAGCCUGUACGUCAGGAACUUGGGGUUUAUGGUGCCUCAUACACCACAUAGCUUGAUGUCCGGUACACGUUGCACAGCAUCUACGGUACUUCCUCUUGUGUACAAUCUAACUACAUUUCUAAAAAGAGUGGGUUAGGGAGGAAUGAGAUGGGGAAAGGAGGGAGACCAGAUCGUGUCUCCGCUUUUCUCUUUUACUGAAGAAGAACAGGAUAUUUUAAUGCCAUCAUCAUCACAGAGCUGUCUGUGGAGAGGAAUGUAUUGAUUGAAAAUGUAUUAUAACUGUAUUGUUACUUUUGAAUAAAUCUUUUUUGAAUAACCUUUUUUUAAUAAAUAAAAAAAAGGAAAGAGAACAAAUAGUGGAGGUUGGUCCAUUAGGCCAAUGCCCCACUAAUCUCAGCCUGCCCUCGGCCAGCCCCCUAGCUAUGGGAAGGGUUGUAGCUCAGUAAUAAGAGCAUCUGCUUUGCAUGCAGAAGGUCUCAGGUUCAACCCCAACCCCAGCCUGAAACCCUGGAGAUCAGCUGCCAGUUAGAGUAGACAUUCCUGAGCUGGAUGAACCAAUGGUCUGGCUUGGUAUAAGGCAGCUUCCUGUAUUCCUGUCCUGGUAUUCAUCCUCCCCCACCCCUAUCCAAUCUCUGUCUUUUGCAAUAGGGGGACCAGCCAUCACUGACCAAGGGAUCUAACAAGCAGCACUGGCUACUACUGGCUUUCUCAAGGUCAAGCCAGUCAUCAUGCUCAUCAUGUAGUGCAGUCCUGUGUACCUGGUUGCUGGUUGGUAUGUAGCCAGCAUGGAAAAGUGGGGUGGGGAAGCUAGAUCAGGACUGUGGGUAGGUAUACCAUACCUUUGAAGCACAUUCCCCCACCUCAAAGAAUUCAGGACAUUGCCAUUUAUUAAGGGUAGCAAGGAAUUGCAACUCUGAGGAGUAAUCUGUAGUGCAGAACCCUAGGGACAGGGGACUCAGCUACACUGGCAAAGAAAAAGCGCUUCAUAUGCGCUGUAUAUACAUUAUAACACUCUGACACCAGAUGGGGCUAUGGGAGUUCUGUUUUUGCCAAUUUCUCUUACAAAGUUUACAACGCAUUUAACUGAAACGCUUCUUUGAUGUGUCUAGAAUCCAGUGAGAGAAAGCCUAAUAAGUGAAUCCACCCUGCUUCAUUGUUAAAGGCUGGGAGGGAAAGGGGUUGUCUACUGUUGGGACAACUUUGUAGCUUCCAUUUGGUUGUGAACUUCUUGCCUUGUUCAUGUGCCUUGGAAUCUUGACUUUCCAUGCUUGCUGCUGAGCUUGUGCUGCCAUUCACCUGAAUAAAUAUUCCUUCCUUAUUUUCAAGUGAGAGUUGCUGUCAUGUUUUGGGACAGGAAUCCGGCAACCACAGAUGUAUGACAGGAGGAAUGAGCCAUUGCCGCCAGCAGCACAUUAUUCCCACUGCAAAUAGGUGGGGUGGAUUCUGAUCAGGAUCACAGUGGGGCCCAAGGCAUUUUUGAAAUCAAAUAAUGCAGCCAAAAAAUACAAUAAAAAUUAUGUCAUCAGGUGAUUGACAAACUUUGCUUUUAAGCAGUAACCGUAAUAGUAAUGUUGUCGUUGUGAAGUAUGCUUACUUUUAAAGACCCCCUUCCCCCGAGUACUGCAAAUUGCGUUUUUUGUUUGUUUGCAGAAGGCACAACCUGUUUUUUGUGUUUGUUCAGCUUGUGGUUCCUUUGAAGGCUGUAGACAGCUAGGAAGCAUUUUUACAAUGGCCAUCACCUCCCAUAAAUAUAUGUCAUUGCUUGGGCACUGAGUUAGCAGUUGUGCGGAAACCUCUCUUUCCCCCCAAAAAACUAUGUGAUGCAAGACUAGAAAAUAAAGGCGUCACGUGACCAAGAACCAAUUUAUUGGUACUGUGCUUCACAAAACAACACUUUCAAUUUCAGUACAGGUUUUUGGUGACACAAAAAAGCAUGUUGCUUAACCAAUCCGAGUUUUUAAAUCUUUUUUCGACCCAGUUUUCCUGCCAGCUUUUAAGUUUCGUCAAAGAGGGGAAAUUCUAACAUAACUUGCAUGUAGAAUUUGAAGCCUGUGUAGUAAUGAACAUAACUUUGUGAUUGGACAAAAAAUAAAGGAAACAUACUCUUGUAUCGCAUGGGGUUGGAAUAGAUGGCCCUCAGGGUCCCUUCCCACUCCAUGAUUCUAUCCCUAUUCCUAUGUACAAGAGAAAGCAGGGGAAGGGAAUUUCCAGCCUGGGUGUAGAUGUGGCCCUCCAGGCCCCUCUGUCUGGCGCUCAAAUCUCUUCCUAGGUAACAGCCUCCACUUCUUCACACCUCAAGUAUUAUUUUGUUUGUUCUGCUUGGGUGGAAUCUGUUCUUCAGCUAUGAAAACGACUCUUUCUUGUCUGGUUGGAGAACAGGGAAAGGUGUGUGAGUGUGCCUAGGAAUCAGCCUACUUCAAAAAGGUAAAAUUAACAGUAUGUCCAUUGCCCACUUUUGCCUCUCGCUCCACCCACCACUGUGUCCCUCUGAAGGCUGCUUAGGAAGGCAUGUCGCCCUUGGAUUAAAAAGCAUUCCCCAGUCCUGCAGUAAAACAGUUGUUGAGGGAUUUUAUUAGCCCACCUUGGAGCUAAUAGCAUCCUAAGGUGGAAGGGAACAUCAGACAAGUGCAGAGCAGUGGGGCGCUGCUCUUGGCCCUGCUCCCAGUGUUGGGCACCUUGUCUGGCCCCACAAUUAGACACCUAGGAGUUACCCUGAUUGUCUGUAAUGCACCUGCUUGUGUCCAUACACAUGCUUGUGCCUAUGCCAAGGCUCCUCGACUUUUUAGGUCUGGGGGCAUAUUAGGAAAUCUAAGAACCACAAGACAGACAAAAAACUGGCAGAACCUAAUAAACAGGCAAAGCACCAAUAUACACCACAAAACAAAUAAAAUGCAGACAAAAACGGACAGUGGGUCUUGCUGGGCACCACCAGGGUGUUUAAGGGUGCCAUACUGGUGAUCUCAGGGCUAAGCUUUCACUCCUCCAUUGUCUCCUGAGACAGACGGAUGCCAACAAAGGAGUAGCCUUGACAAAGCAAUGUCAGUGUAGCCACCCAUUUCCCAUAGCUGGUUAGAUAGAUGCUUGCUGAGAAGUUUUUCAGCAGAGCAUAAAGUCAUUGCUCUCCCUGCUGUUGCCACCUCCAGUCACUUACUCAGUGGCACACCACUCCUGAUGUUGGACUCUCCAUGCAACUAUCAUGGCUAACAGCUAUUUAAUGCCAUGAUCCUCCACAAACUUGUCUAAUCUUACUUUAAAGCCACCAUUUCUACUAAAUUUAAUGGUCACAAAAGCCUCUUGUGAUUUAUUUGAGAGAGAGCAAAUGGAACAUUUGUGCAAUGCUUUUCUUUGGGAACACUCAUUCCAAAACGCUUUGCUGAUGUUCCUUCCUGUAUCACGUCAAGCUUUCCUUGCCCAAACCAUGCAGCUACCCUUCCCAUACCCAUAUCAUCACAGAUGAAAACUGUUUAUCUCUAUGAUCAUAUAGGACCAAAAUGGCACGGAAGAGUCUAUUAUUAUGCCACAGUGCUAUCCAUGGUGCUGAUCACCACAUAACACUAUUUAAAACAGCCUUUCUCGACCUUGGGUCCCCAGAGGUUGUUGGACUACAACUCCCAGCAUCCCUGACCACUUUUCCAGUUAGCUAGGGAUGAUGGGGUUUGUAGUCCAACAACAUGUGGAGACCUAAGAUUGAGAAAGGCUUAUUUAAAACAAACAUGGCAUUGCAUUUGGAUUUUGGACAUUCAGAGUAUAAUGUAAAAGAACACAACAACUGGGAACAUACAGCCCAACCCUACCCAUGAUCAUGCAGAAAUAAGACCCGCUAAGUUCAAAGUGAUUUAUUAUUAGGUAAGACUGCACAAGAUUGCAGGCAUAACAUUGGAAAUUACUGAGGUGAUAGAUCAGUUCCAAAUCCCCAGCUUGUGUAAAGGAAAUCCCUUAUAAUCCUCUCUGUAUUCAGAGGCUUUCUUGUUGACAGCAUUGAUUUAGCUUCCCUGGAAUACUGCAGCCCAUUAUCAGUUUGGAUUAUAAAAUGGAUUCCUUGAAUAUCAAGGGAUGCAACACUGUAGAUUCAGCAUCACACUAGUAUUCAGAGGUCAUUAGGGCCAUUCCCUUCUGCUUAUGUUAGCAAAACUGUGGCUGUUAGCUUUGCCUUUGAAGACUCUUUGGAAAACUCAGUAUGCAGCUGCCUGAUUAGUAACUGGGAUUGGGCAUUGCUAUCGUAUUAAAUUCGGCACUUGAGAAUUUAAGUAGAGCUAUGCUGGAUCAGGCCAAAGGACAAAUAGUUCAGCAUCCUGGUCACACAGUGACCAACCAGAUGCCCAAACAGGCCCUGAGGGCAACAGGGCCCUGAUGAUUUUCAGCAAAGGGUAUUCAGGAGCAUUCUGCUUCCAGCAGUGGAGGCAGAAAUGGCUAGCAACCAAAGUUAGCCUUAUUCUCAAUCUAAUCCUCUUUUAAAGCCAUCAGGCACCUACCUGGUCAUCUUUCCAUCACCCAGCGAAGACCUGUUUAUUUCCCAAGUUCUUUAUACAGAAUUUUAAUCUCGUUUAUGGAUUUACAGUGGUCUUGGUGCUACUGGUUGUCCCCUAGUGCAGGGUUUCCCAAACUUGGAUCUCCUGCUGUUUUCAGACUACAAUUCCCAUCAUCCCUGACCUCUGGGCCUGCUAGCUAGGGAUGAGGGAGUUGUAGUCCAAAAACAGCUGGAGAUCCACAUUUGGGAAACCCUACCCUAGUAAGCCUGUUCCUGUUAUUGAUGGGUGAAGGUUAGGGCUUGACUUACUGCUUUUCUUGCUUGCUUGCUGUAGCACAGGAGUUCAUGUUUAGUAUGCAGAAGACCCCAAGUUAAAUCACUGGCAUCUGCAGGUAUGAGUAAGAAAGAUCCCAGUCUGAGAUCAUUGGAGAGCCACUGCCAGUCAGUGAAGAGAGCACUGAACAGUUCAUAGACACAUACAUUUAGAAGAGGUCAUAGCUUAAUUUAUGCAAUUCGAGAAAUGCAGAACAAAGCUGAGGUGCAGGAGGCUAGCAGUUACAUGGUCUGGUUUCUCCAUAAAAAGUGAGAGAAUGGAGGAUGCCAUUUCCAGAUUAAAUAAGAGUAGAAGCCUAGGUUGAAAACUAGAGAGAAGAAAAAGUAAAGGCACUGAAAAACCGAUGUAUUAUCAGGGAACCCCACGUGCAGGUCGUAUCAAGAUACAGGGAACCUGGCAGAGGGCCUUCUCGCUAGUGACGCCUGCCCUGUGGGACACCCUCCUGCCAGCUGUCAAAGAGAUAAAUAAUUUUACAACCUUCCAUAGACAUCUGAAGGCAGCCCUGUAUCAGGAAGAUUUUAAUGUGUGGUGUAUCAUGUGUUCUUUUAUAUUCUGUUGGAAGCCACCCAGAGUGGCUGGGGCCACCCAGUCAGAUGGGCAGGUACAAAAAAUACAGUGGUGCCCCGCAAGACAAAUGCUGAAAAACUUGCUAGACGAAAGGGUUUUGCGUUUUUUGAGUCGUUCCGCAAGACGAAUUUCCCUAUGGGCUUGCUUCGCAAGACGAAACGUCUUGCAAGUUCUUGCGAGUUUGUUUCCUUUUUCUUAAAGCCGCUAAGCCGUUAAGCCACUAAUAGCCAUGCUUCGCAAGAUGAAAAAACCGCAAGACGAAGAGACUCGUGGAACGGAUUAAUUUUGUCUUGCGAGGCACCACUGUAAAUUAUUUUUACUAUUAUCUCAUUAUCUUCAAGUACAGUGGUACCUCGGGUUAAGAACUUAAUUCGUUCUGGAGGUCCGUUCUUAACCUGAAACUGUUCUUAACCUGAAGCACCACUUUAGCUAAUGGGGCCUCCCGCUGCUGCCGCACCACCGGUGCAUGAUUUCUGUUCUCAUCCUGAAGCAAAGUUCUUAACCCAAGGUAAUACUUCUGGGUUAGCAGAGUCUGUAACCUGAAGCGUCUGUAACCUGAAGUGUCUGUAACCUGCGGUACCACUGUAUUCUGUUUUUACUCUAUGAAUGUUGCUGCUCAGUAUCACAGUCUAAAAUCUGACUUCUCAAGCUCAUUGAAAGGGGAUGAAAUCUACUACAGAGUAAUGCAUACAAUCUAUGUCAAGCUCAAACAACAAUUGCAGUAGGGUUUGACUUUGAGAGGGUUUUAAAAAAACACACACCAGAAAAAACCCACAACCUCUUUCUGUAAUGAAAUUCCCAUGGGGAAUUUCUCAGGGGAGAGCAUAGCUCAAUCUCAUUUACUCCAGGGGAAUUUCCUUCAAGGUGAAUUGACUUUCCUUCAUUAAAAUCGAGAAAUGCUAUUAACUAUCCAUGCUCCCCAACCACCUUUCUCCAUUCACAGAGUAUAGAUUCAAUAAUAAACACAGCAGCAUAUUUUCAAAGGGAAGAGAUGAUGAAAUAUUUGGGCAGGCAGCAUAAGACCAACUUGCAACAUUUGUAUCAUUAGCCAGCCUGCAAGCAGGUUCUGCUUCUGGGCUUUUAUUGCUUUCAUACGCAACAUUUUCUUUUUUAAAAAAAUAUCCAUAUUUCUUUCCUGUUUUAGUAAACUUUAGAACUUGUUCCAUAGCCUCUUUGUAUCUUAACACCCUCAUGCUUGAUCUGCCUCACUACCUAAAGAGACCCCAGGAAAAUUUGGCAGCUAAUUGAUAAUGGGUGGGUAUAUUAUUCAUCCUUUGUCUAGUAGCAGCUGUGGAUUUUAAAGGGAGAGAGUAGGCAUGAGUAGAGGAUUCACUCUGUGCUAGGCAGGAACACUAUCCCUCUCAGACAGCGUGGAACCUAGCAGGGACGGCUCACCCAUAAGGCAAGGCGAGGUGACAGGUUGAUCGCCCCCUCCCCCCCCCGCUUUCUCCUUAUGUAGAUCUUCCCUCACACCUUCUUCCUUGGAGGGGGGUGUGUGCCAUUUUGAGACCAACUCAGGUGUUAAAAUGUCUUGGGUUAGCUUUGCGACCCAGGGUCACUGGGAGUUGGUCACUAAGGGAGGCCAGCAAAAUAUGGAAGACUGCAGGUUUCCCUGGUACAGAUUCAGCCACAAUCAUUUGCCCCUCUGCCCCUCUUUUCUUUAAAAAUGUUUGUUUUCCAGAUAUUGAGCCUGUCCACACACUUGGCAUCGGGGGGGGGGGGGGAGGUUUCCCUGGUGCACUUUUGUACAUAGUGAUUUGAGAUUGUGCACAUAUUUGUACGAUAACAUCACCCAAAGUGGCAGGAGCUAUCCAUGUACACACAGGUAGACAUGCUUUCAAACUAGUGCACAACAAAAAUUGUGUUCUCUAUUCUGCUCAGUUAGUGUUUCUACAGGCACUAAGAUGGAAUCUACACACAUAUAAAAACCGUUACGAAAAUGCUUUUUUUAAAAAGCGCUUUUAAAAAUGCAUUUAAUUUUCCAUAAGGCUCACCAUCGCAGUCUGUGCCACAUUGUAUAUUGCACUUAAAACACACUUAAAACGUUUUAUUUGCAGCUGUAUAGCUAAGUCCUUUGUGUUACACACACACACACACACAGAGAGAGAGAGAGAGAGAGAGAGAGAGAGAGAGAGUUGUGUUAAUAUACUGAUAUACAGAAGAUAUGGGAUGCAGAUGGCGCUAUGGUCUAAACCACUGAGCCUUGUGGGCUUACUGAUCGGAAGGUUGGCGGUUGGAAUCUGCACAACAGAGUGAGCUCCAUUGCUCUGUCCCAACUCCUGCCAACCUAGCAGUUCGAAAGCAUGCCGGUGCAAGUACAGUGGUACCUCGGGUUACAUAUGCUUCAGGUUACAUACACUUCAGGUUACAGACUCCGCUAACCCAGAAAUAGUACCUUGGGUUAAGAACUUUGCUUCAGGAUGAGAACAGAAAUCAUGCUCUGGCAGCGCGGCUGCAGCGGGAGGCCCCAUUAGCUAAAGUGGUGAUUCAGGUUAAGAACAGUUUCAGGUUAAGAACGGAUCUCCAGAACGAAUUAAGUUCUUAACCUGAGCUACCACUGUAAAUAAAUAGGUACCACUGCAGCGGGAAGGCAAAUGGCAUUUCUGUGCACUCUAAUUUCUUUCAGGGUGUCCAGUUGCGCCAGAAGUGUUUUAGUCCUGCUGGCCACAUGACCUGGGAAGCUGUCUGUGGACAAACGCCGGCUCCCUUGGCCUGAAAGUGAGAUGAGUGCCGCAACCCCAUAGUCGCCUUUGACUGGACUUAACCAUCCAGGGGGCCUUUACCUUUAUACAGAAGAUGCAUAAUGGGAUGUCAGGGAACUGAUAUCGGAGCCUGAGGCGGAGGGAAGGCUCUCAAAUGAUGCUGGAGAAGGGCCAAGCGGGGAGAGAGGCAGUUCAGCAGAGGGGGAAGCAAAUCAACGUUACACCAGGGAUAAAGGGGGGCAGAUGGGGGAAUCGGCGAGAGGGCUCCAGGACUCUUCACUGGACACCAGCGGGGAGAGCACGGGUCCUCCGCUACCCACGCCCUCCCUGCGCAGAAGACUCCCGCGCAGUGAGAGGAGGAGGAGACUGGGCGUCAAACAACUUUUAUGUUGGAAGAGGUUCAAGAAACGCCCACUGACGGAUUCUGUUAGCGACUGAGGCAGCCACGAAUUUAAGGGCUGUCCAGACAGAAAGGUUUAACCAGGCAACAUAGCCAGGAGAGGCGGCAACUUACGCACGAGCAACCCCAUACCAUUAUAUGGGAUACGGAGGCAGCUAAGUUACUAUGCUGCUUCCUGUUUUGCCUGUUUCGUUCACAAACAAGUUAAACAUGAAAAGAGGGAGUGGCCUCAAUAGGAAGUCCUUUCUGUGUACACAUGUACAUAGCAAAUGCUUGAGAAGUCCAGGCCUUUUUGUUUUUUCAGCCAGAACUCACUGAUACUCAGUUCCUGCAGCUCUCAGGUGAGAGUCAUUGCCAUUGUUAGAGAACAAGGUAGAGGGUGUUCAUGGUGAGUUCUGACACAUUUCUUUCUAGAAAAAGAAGUCUAUUCUCUGCAGACAAUGAAUUAUAACAAUUCCCACAGGAUGUGUUUCAGAUUGUGUUUCUUUUUCCUUUCUCCUCCUGCGAUGAGGCUGCAUUUUAAUAUUUUAAUGUUACAAUAUUUUAAUUGUUGUAUUUUAAUCUUGUUUUUAAGUUGUAUUCAUUCAACUUGUUUUUAUUAUUGCUUGUUAGCCGCCCUGAGCCCGGCCUUGGUUGGGGAGGGUGGGUUAUAAAUAAAAAUUAAUUAUUAUUAUUAUUAUUAUUAUUGACAAAUAGUGUGGGAUGGGAAUGAUGCAAUGUGCAGGUAAAUUCAAUGUGCACAGCACCUCAAAAAGGCAUUUGAUUAAUCAAAAACACGCUUUUGAUUAAGCAGGGUAACAGCUCAGAAGAGUGAAACAGAACCCAGCAAAUGUCCUUUAAAUGUCUCUGGUCUUGUUUCCCUGCCUCACUGGCUCUGAUGUUGCCUCAGACUAAGCUGAAUGCCUAGAUAUUUCAGAUUCAUGUCAGAAGAGGCUCAGGCGGGAGAGCCUGACAAGAGAAAGCAGACUUCUUGUCUCCAGGCCCCUGCUAGGGUGAGGAGGAAAAGUUCAGAAGGUAAUUCAAAACGGAGAAUUGGCAAUUUAGUAGAACAUGAUGGUUCUUUUGUGUGUGUGACAGCUUCCCUGGAGAGCACAGCACAGGUCUUCGUAGAGGCUAAGUGCCCUGCGUUGUAAAAGCUAGGUUUGCAGCAGGUUUGGGUAGAGGAGAGAUAAUAUAGUAUGAUAGCAAUAGUGCUCAGUGCUAUAGUACUACUCAGAAUGCAUACACACCAUGCAUUUAUAGCGCGCGCACACACACACACAAAAAAGAAUCCUGGGAACUGUAGUUUACUUCUGGUACAGGACUGCAAUUCCCAGCACCCUUGAAAAAAUAAAAUCCCCAGUCCUUGUGGGUGGGGGAUGUGCUUUAAAUGUAUUUUAAAUGUAUGGUGCUAAUGCGGCAAUAAUAGCUAGUAACUGCAAUAGUUGCUAGAGAAUCUUACUGGGAUGCAAGUCCUCCAUUCCUUUCCGUUCACAGUUCUGGGGUAGCAAAAUAUACAUGCCAACCCAUUAUUAGCUAAUGGCAUGGUUAUAAUUUAGGGCUGCAUACUGUAAGAGGAAGACAGUGGUGGCCACUUGCUACUCAAGAGCAGUUAUGGCUCACCCUUAAAGACCAAUGGACUUCACGGUCAUUCGCUUUAUGGUCAAGAGAUGUCAAACUAGUCCUCCAAAUAACUUCCCCCGUUAUCUGUUAUUGCUUUUGUUUGCAUGUUUAUUUCAUGCCUUCUGCAGGACUGCUUGCCUUGGGAUGGUUUGCCUCAAAGGAACAACCUUAUUAUUACCAUGUCAAGGUUACCCCACAGUGUUUCAUGGGCCUGCUGACAUUCAAACCUGGAUCUGACCCACCUAAGAACUUGUCCAAACUUCUGCUUGCCCUGUGCCUAGAAAGCACAGGUCCGAGCAGUUUCCCAUUUCCCCUGUGCUUUCUAGGCAAGAGUCUGAGCAGUUUUACCUUUGCCGCAUCAUUUCCCCUGGAAAACCCACUCUUUAGUGCUAAAUCUUCAGUCCGGGGGAAACCCAAUUGAUAUUUGCUCCAAUUCAGCAGUAAACAGCGGGUUUUCCCCGAAGGGAAAGUGACAGGGCAAAUGGAAGUGAGGAUGAGUCUGUAGUGAAACAUUCUAUUGACUGCACAACACCGGCUCUCAGACCUCAUCACAGUAUACACAAAUACACAGAGUCAUAGAAUCAUAUAAUUGUAAAGUUGGAAGGGACCACAAGGGUCAUCUAGUACAGGGAUCUUUUUGACCAAUAUGGGGCUUGAACCCACGACCCUGAAGUUAAGAGUCUCAUGCUCUACCAAAGUGCCUGCAGAACAGACACAGCCGUUGCCCCCCAUUUUUCAGUUGCUUUAUCAUUCUUGAGUGUAUAACAGACUCAUAGUUCUGAAUCUGAUGUCUGGUCUGCUUUUCCAGAAAGCCUUCUAUGUACCAAGUCCACAUCACCAAACAAAGCAGACAAAGGCUUUGGGGUCAAACACAAUCAGCCAGCAUGCUAAGUCAACAGCUGACCUUUUUCUGCACAACCUUUCCAUCUCUAUUUUAUUUUUUAAAGCCUUCCCCCCCCCCCCACACCUCUGGCUCAGAUUGCUAAGCCCUGUAGGGAUGUUAAGAAGCGUUUUUCUGUGUGUCACGGGGGGGGGGGAGGCACUUGGGCUGAAACUGAUUCAUUUUCCUUCUGCUGGAAAACAGCCAGGUCUUAUAAAUGGCAAAGGAUGGUUUUAGGAUUGCCUACACAAUAUCACUGUGAAGCUUUCCUGUUGUAAGUCUGCAUGGAGAAGGAGUGUCUGUGUGAUGUUACCAUAAUCAGCACAGAGGAAAGUCACACCCCAAACCCAAAGCAUGUGUGGAAAACCUACAUUGCAGUAUUAUUAGAAUUACUAAUCCAAUUUAUUCAUAUAACACCUUUUUCUCUCCCAAAACUUCCCCCAAAUGCUGAACAGCAGGGCUUUUUGCCAGCCAGAAUUUGCCAGAACUCAGUUCCUGCACCUCUCAGGUGGGCACCGUUGCCAUUAUAAGAGAACAAGGAAGGUGUUCAUGGUGAGUUCCAACACCUCUUUCUCUAGAAAAACAGCUCUGCUGAACAGCCUAUUAAAAUUACCAUAGAGUACAACAAAAUGUCCAUAGCAAGCAAAAACAUGUAACUGAUGAAUCCUAACUAUAGGAAGUCAGCAAAGUCUAGGCUGGAAUUACCGUAGAUACUCUAUUUCAAAUUCCAAGCAUGAGUCCCUGACUGAGCAAUCAGAUUAGUGUGGGUCCGAGUUUUAAGGAUUUGGAACUAGGCCACAUAACUGUAAUGAACAGAGUUUUGAAUUAGUCUAACCAUUACCUUGCCCCACACCAACACGGGCCUUUUGGGAGACCUAUGCUGCUGUAUGUUUUGUUAACUGAGUCAAGAGGGACUCAGUAUCUCUGCCUCAGUGAGCAUGAGGAAUUUACACCAGUGUAGGUAUAGCUGAACCCUGGCUGAUCUAGGAAAGCCCAAGAUUUGCCAAAUCCAAACUCUCUUAUCCCAGCGGAUCUUGGAUUUCAAUUGUGCUGCAAAUCAGCAAAAUCUCAUCUUGGGGAGAGAGCCAAAGGAAAAGUUUCAGAAGCUAGGGGAUUAAAGGGUGCUUCACCAACUUUCCAUCCCCCCCACAGUUAUCAAACAAAUGAAACAAACAGUCUGGGGGUGGGGAUAAUUUCGGACACCUGCUGGUCUGGCUUUCCAGGACGGGAGGCAAAUGAUACAAAAUAAACAUUAGCUGAGCGAAUUAGGGAUGCAGGCUUUAGGCGGCCAUCCUCAACACACUACUAGGGAGUAAGUUCCACAGCACACACUACUUCUUGGUCCCUACUUUUUAGUACCAUUUAUCACACAAUCCCUCCCUUCCAACAACAUGCAAUCACUUCAGUGCACUCUUGGAUCCCCCACUCCCUCAACCCAUAUCAUACACUACCCAACUGCUUGGUAAAGGUAAAUGUAAAGGGACCCCUGACCAUUAGGUCCAAUGAUGACCGACUCUGGGGUUGCGGCGCUCAUCUCGCUUUAUUGGCCGAGGGAGCCGGCGUACAGCUUCAGGGUCAUGUGGCCAGCAUGACUAAGCCACUUCUGGCAAACCAGAGCAGCGCACGGAAACGCCGUUUACCUUCCCGCCAGAGCGGUACCUAUUUAUCUACUUGCACUUUGACGUGCUUGUGAACUGCUAGGUUGGCAGGAGCAGGGACCGAGCAACAGGAGCUCACCCCGUCGCAGGGAUUCGAACCGCCAACCUUCUGAUUAGCAAGUCCUGGGCUCUGUGGUUUAACCCACAGUGCCACCCGUGUCCCAACUGCUUGGUACCAGCCAACAAAUCAUCAACAGGUUGUCAGUGGAUAGAGAAAAGUUUUUCUCCCUCUCUUAUAACGCUAGACCUCAUGAACUUCCAGUGAAGCUGUAGGAUUCAGAACAGGCAAAAGGGGGGGGGGACCCUUAUUCAUGCAGUACAAAAACUGUGGAACUCACUUCCACAAGAGGCAGGGAUGGUCACCAACUUGGAUGGCUUUAGAAGACAAUUGGACAAAUCCAUGGAGGAGAAAGUCAUCAAUAGCUACUAGCCUGGAUGUCUGUGCUCUGCCUCUAUAGUCAGAGGUAGCAAUGCUUCUGAAUACCAGUUGCUGAAAACCACAGGAGCAGAGAGAGCCAAUGUGGUGUAGAGCUUAAGAGUGGUGGACUUGUAAUCUGGUGAACUGGGUUCGUGUCUCCGCUCCUCCACAUGCAGCUGCUGGGUGACCUUGGGCUAGUCAAACUUCUUUGAAGUCUAUCAACCUCACUCACCUCACAGAGUGUUUGUUGUGGGGGAGGAAGGGAAGGAGAAUGUUAGUCGCUUUGAGACUCCUUCGGGUAGUGAUAAAGCGGGAUAUCAAAUCCAAACUCUUCUUCUUCUUCUUCUUCUUCUUCUUCUUCUUCUUCUUCUUCUUCUUCUUCUUCUUCUUCUGCUCAGAUCCUGCUAGAGGGUUUUCCAGAGGCAUCUAGUUGGUCAUUGUGAGAGCAGAAUUCUGGAGCAAGCCACUGGCCUUCUCCUAAUUGAAGACCCAAACAAACUGAGGUAAGAAUGAUGCUAUCCGGGGCUCUAGGCACUAAAUCAUAACAAACACCCACACCAACACAUCUAUCUCCCCACCCUCUCACUUAGGGCCACAAUGACUCCUCUCCUAACUUCUCCUCAGGACAGAACUCUUUAGCACCAAACUUAACUUUACUCACUCCAUGCACCUGACUGUCACCUGGGAGCACUAUCUUUCCAACCCUUGGGCUCUCAGCUAUCACCUGGGAGCUCAUAUUUUACAACUGAUACUUGUGCAUCCAGUGCAGAGGUUUCUCCUCCCCCAGAUGACUUGUGUAUAUUUUUAAAAGUUCCCAGCGUUUAAAUAAAGCUAUUGCUAUUUACAACUGCCUGCAGAAUUUACAAGUGUGCACCCUGAAUCUCUUAAAAGGCUACUUCUGCAGCAGCUGAGCAAGAAAUAUUUUGCCCUUGAUUGAUAUGCAAAUUUCAGCUAAACUAAUUGGAUUUCACAGCUGCCUCCCAGGAUCCCAUGUAUUAUUCAUAGAGUUUGAUUCUGCGCUAUGGAGGAUGUUAGAGCUAAUAAGCUGGAACCCUGGCAAAAUUCAAAACAAAAGAGUCAUCACAAUCUAUAUGGCCACACUUGAGUCAGAUGACUCUUAAUUUCCUACUGGAUCAAUGCAAAAUAACCCAUUUCCAAUGCAUCCGAAAUCACAGAGUCAUAGUAACCUAGACUUGGAAGGGGCUUAGAGGUAAUAUAGUUUAACCCCUGCUCAGUGAGGAAUCUGUAAUGUAGUAUGAAAUGACAGCAUUCUAACAGAUAACGAGGCUCUGCUUAAAGUGCCUUCAUCAAAGGAGAACCCAGAACCUUCUAAGGCAGUUGGUUUCACUGUUGAACUGUUCUUAGUGUUUGGAAGUUUCAUCAAUGUUUCAUCAAAGUCAGCUUUCUUGCUAUUUCCACCUGUUGGCAGUAGUUCUGCCUUCUGGAAAAACAGAGUAGACGCCUGCUCCAUCUUUUGUGUAACAGCCCUUCAGAUACUUGAAGGUAGCUUUCAUGUGUCUACUUUAAUCUUCUCCAAAGGCUAAAUAAUGGUUGUGUCCUGGUUCCUCUGUCCCAAAACAGGCAGACAGAGACUCUUACUUGGAAGUAAGAAAGAGAUCAUUAUUCAGGCAAGGAGCCAUGCAGUAGACAUAGAGCUCAGGAGUCAUGAUUCAGGAGGUUAGGAGCAAAGCAAGGCAUUAAGGAUUGGACGGAAGAAUCAGAUGUCCAUAGGUACUUGUGUUUCACCCACAACCUCAGUUUUUCUUGAGUUAAAAAAUGCACACACGUUUGUGGGCGCACAUAAAAGCUCUGUGCAAACAGGGAACUUAGACAGGGGCAUGUCGACCUAACCUACCUCACAGGGUUAUCGUGAAGAUAAAAUAGGAUGAGCUCCGUUCAGAAAGGAGGCUUUUUUUAAAAUAGAAGAAAAGUAAUUGAUAAAUAUAGUCCAGAUCAAACAUGAUGAAGAAAGAUCCUCAAGGUUGAGUGAAGCACAGAAAUCAUCCAUCAUGGAUACCUGCUGAGCCGCUAGAAGACAAACAGCAUUGCCGUUAAUGGAAAUCGCUCAAAUAAUAGCACACAUAUCAACAUAGCUGGCAUAUUAUAUCAGACCAUAAUACUUUAGAGACAGGGAACUGUAUCUUCAUAUUGUAUACUACGUAAGCUGAGCUCUGAGGAAAGCUGGGUGAUGAAUCCAAGUAAAAAAUGGUCCAAGGAGAGGAUACAUCACUUGUCCUAAAAGCAGGGAUGCAGACAAUUUUUAUCAUCCAAGAGCCUCAGCAUUUUUUUAACAUAGACACACAGACAGACAUAUUUGGUGGUGUUAACAACUGCUGAAUAAUACAUAACAUCACCUCCUUCUGUUUGAUUUCACUAUCUUUUCCUUUUCCUAUUCAAUUUAAGCACAUUCAAGCACAUGCAUUCUCUUAGCAGCUCCUGCUUAUCUUUCAUCUCUGAUUCUUCUCUAUGUUCCCAUCUUUGGUCUCUGCUGUGGGUUCUUUCUUUCUUGUUAAGCCCCCACCCCACCCCCACCCCAAGUAUUUCCCUAGAUAUCACAUCUUUAUUCUUUUCCUCCCCCUUAUCACACCCUGUCUGUUGCUAGUAAAAAGAAAACAAAAAACAUAGUCGCUAAACUUAUUCUCCUUCUUUCUCUUUUAAGUGUCCCAUUUAUUUUGGUGAUAGAUUUUGUCCUCCUCCAGUUUGUAAUUUUAUUAUACAGACCUUGGGAGUCAUAGUGGAUAACUUGAUGAAGGUGUUGACCCAGUGUGUGGCAGCUAUGAAGAAGUCAAAUUCCAUGCUAGGGAUCAUUAGGAAAGGAAUUGAAAAUAAAACCUGCUGCUAUCAUAAUGCUGUUGCACCAGUUUAUGGCGUGACUGUGUUUGGUAUACUGUGUACAGUUUGGGCCUCCAGGCAGAUAUUUGCAGGGUUGGAAAAGGUUCAGAAAAGGGCAACCAAUGAUGAUCAAGGGGAUGGAAUGACUCCCCUCUGAGGAAAGGCUACAGCAUUUGAGACUUUUUUUAGUUUAGAGGGAGGUGGGAAUGAGUAGCAGAUGGCAUGAUAUAAGUUUGCAAAAUUACACAUGGCAUGGAGAAAUUUGGUAGAGAAAAGUUGUUCUCCCCUCACCUAGCACAUCUAAUGGAUCUGAAUGUUGGAAGACUCAGGACAGAUAAAAGAAAGUCAUCCUUCAUAAUUUAAACUAUAGAACUCGCUCCCAGUGGAGGCAGUGAUGGUCAACAACUUGUAUGGCUUUAAAAGAGGACUGGACAAAUUAAUGAAGGACAAGGCUAUCAAUGGCCACGAGCUCUGCCUUCAUGGUCAGAGGUGGUGAUGCUCCUGACUACCAGUUGCUGAUCAAGUCCAGCUUGGGGAUUUCUCCCAGGCCUCUGGUUGGCUAUUGUGAGAACAGGAAGCUGGACUAGAUGAACCAUUGGCCUGAUCCAGAAGGCUCUUCUCAUGUUCUUUUUCCUAGUUUUCUAUCUGUUUGAAAUUAGGAUGCAGCUGCCCUUUGGCCUCCCGUCCCAAAUAAACUGCCCUUUUCAGCAAGCAUCCCACCUGGCAAUGGUGAGAAAGCAUCUCCCCCUCCACUGGCUUGGCCAAUUGCCAUUUGGCGCCACCAUAGCUUGCCUCAACGACAUGCCCAAUAGGUUGCAAUGGGGAGGGGAGGCAGAGGAGCCCCCUCCAUCAGCCUGGCAGCAGCUAACUCCCACUUGGCUCCUCUCUUUCCAGAACAGCUUCUCUCUCAGUGGUCAUUCAGCUGCAUUGCUUCAGAGGUCAAGGCCAAACAGCCCUGCCCAUUGGCCUGUCAGAGAUCCAGUGCUACUUGGCUUCUCCCUUAGGCAGAGGGGAGUGACUGGCCAAAGCCAGAGUUUCAUGGCUGAGUGGAGAUUUGAACUCAGAUCUCCCAUACCCUAGUCCAGCAUUCUAACCACUACACCACACUCCUUUCCUUUCCUCCCUAAUGCAUUUUAUGUCUAUCUUUAUGUUGUAAGCCUGUGGGAAGGACAGCUCUUGUUUCAAACGUAUAUACAGUGCCUCAGUUUGUAAAUGCUUUAUGCUACUCUGGAAUACAGGACCUAAUAUAUCCUGCGUAUCCCUUGCCCAUUGCUCUGGGGGCAUCAUUCCCCAAAUGCUACCUCCUCAUCUGUUCUGCUGUGGAAAAUUACUGGAAGAGAAAUUGUAUGAUCCAUUGCCACUUUCUAUCCCUUGCAUGCCAGAAAAUGCAUUUGAAUUCCCGUCACCGACCCAGCUGUACAAAACAGAAAUGAAAAUUGGGAUUUACUUAUACAUUGAUAGAAAACGAGAAGAAGAUGUAUUAAAACAUAGGAAGGUCCACAGCCUGGCAUACGAGCCUUGGAGUUAAUUUAGUGCCAUUUAAUCACAGUCCCUGGCCUUAAUGGGAUAAAAAUGGAAAGUAUAAACGCAGGACAAUUAAGCGUGGUGCAUAGGCCAUCGCGAAAUCUUAAUCGCGCUUAAUGAUAUAUAUUUGUCAUCCAGACUGAAACAGGUUUAGAAAGUUGGGGUUUUUUUUUAAACAAAGAUGUUUUAUAGCACUGAGCUUUAGUGCCAACCUCUUAACUGCUGCUGUAAUUUCUAAAUUUCCCAUGGGAAAGAAGUAGUGUAUGAAAGAAGCCAUUAGCAUGGAAAAGAAACUCAUUCACAUUUUGCCACAGGUGGAGAUGGCAGUGCUUAUAAUAGGAGACACACUGAUUUCCGUAUGGGGGAGGUGCUUAGCCAAUUACAGGUAUGAAUGUAAGAAUAGCCUGCUGGAUUGGACCAAUUCUAGUUCAGAAUCCUGUCCUCACAGGAGCCAACCAGACACCUGCAGGAAACCUGUAAGCAAGUACUUUUAAACAUUUUGUUGGGGAUAAUUCAGACUAAAAAUUCCCUGGUGUCAAAAGGUCAUUUAUGUAUGCCACUCCUGCGGCCUGUGUUUAGCCCCAAAAUGGAAAAUGAGCAAGGUCCCAACUAAAGAAGAAUGGCAGCUUAAGCUGAUGAAUAUGCGCAGCUUGCAGACUUAACAUAUAGAAUAAGAGAACAAGAAGAACAUACGUUUAGAGAAGAGUGGAAAAUGUUUAUUGAAUAUAUUGGGGGGGGGGAAUUGUGUAUACCUGAAAAUGUUGGCAGCAUUAAGAUAAAUUCAACAGUGUAAAUAAGUUUUGAUGGAUACAAUAAUGGAAUACUGAAUGGUUUAGUUUUUGUAAAAUAUGCAGGGAUUUAUGAUAUGCAAAAAGAACCAUGGAAAGAGAAGAA
rnacentral:lncRNA from 1 species